rnacentral:lncRNA from 1 species
UAUUCAAUAAUGUUAUUGGUCCCCCAUGUGCAGAAGGGCGCGCGCGUAUGGAAUAACAAGUAGGGACACUGCAACUAAUCUACUCUGCUCGUCCAGUCCCUAGCCUAUAAAUAGAUGCCAUGCUAGCUCUUGUUGUGCUCACAAUUAAUCCGAUUACACACGAGCUUCUCUCCCUGGCCAAGACACAACCAUAGUAUGAUGAAGAACAUGGCACUAGCCGGCAAUGGUAUGAAGAAGUUAAUCCUCGCUGUUCUCUUACUGUGUCUAGUUAUAGGGCAGAUACAAGUGGAAGCUAAGAGCUGCUGCCCAUCCACCACUGCAAGAAAUGUCUACAAUACCUGCCGUUUCACGGGUACAUCCCGUCCAACGUGUGCAAAACUGUCAGGCUGCAAAAUUAUCAGCGGGAACAAAUGCAAGCCCCCUAACGACCACCUCACCCUUGACCCGGACACUGGUAAAUAAUAAAUUUAUCUCACUUGAUUUCUUCGUGAUUUGAGUCGUUAAUGUAUUUUCCAUCUGAUGAAACGUAUUGGUUUUGCAUUGAAGAGGAAGUUAAUGUGCUUAACUUCUGCAAGUUGGGGUGUGCGUCGUCUGUGUGCAACAACAUCAACGCUGGUAAGCAACUUUUGCUCAGACAGAGAAAACAAUAAUCAUUAAUUAGCGGCAGCUAGAAUCCUAUAAUCUAAUAUAUAUAUAUAUAUAUAAUUUUAUCAGCUCUGGGAAAUGAAGAGGCGAACGAUGCCGUUGAGAGUUGCGACCAAGCCUGCUCUAGCUUCUGCAGCGUGCAUGUUGGCAGCGCCACCGUGGUUGCUUAAGCAAAUGCAUCCAACUAGAUCGUCCUUGUGCUGAAUAAUUGGAUAUCGUAUCCACUUAAAGCUGCCUUGUGUAGUACGUCUUUGUGUCUCUCUUUAUAUUCCAAUAAGGUCGGUGAUCUUGAUGCCACACACUCAGAUGUGUGUUCAUCUCCAGAUACUACUCCAUGCUACCUGCCCUUUGUGUUUUGUUCAAUAACUGGGUAUCAUAUCCCAGCCAGUAUGCCGUCUGUUUUGUGUUUGUUUCCUUCUAGUUCCAAAGGGGUCAUCAUGAUGUUACCUUCUUUCAAUAUGGUGCUUUGCAUGACUACUGUUGUAUGGUACCAUCUUGUGGCCAAUAAGUACAUCUUAUCCUAUGACCUUUGCUAUGACCCUUUGCAAAUAAGUAGAAGAUUGUUAUAAGCGUCAAUACUCCGUAUAAAUUGAUCGCUGCUGUGAGUUCCCUUUCAGCUUAUCGUAGGCAUACAUUAUUGCUAGCACGGUAAAGCCAACCAACACGAAUGAUGAAGUAAACGUAGCGGUACUUCUGUAUACCAACACCCUUACUUAAAUGUACCGGUGUCAUUCCCUACUGGCACAUAUAUUCUUAUAUGCUAGCCAGCUUGUAAAAUUAACCAAUUAAAAUAAUUAUUUCAAGAUAGAAAUAACUUAUCGGUUUCUGGAAGCAUGUGUAAUGUGAAUUCAAGGACUCGACGGAAGUUGAAUCACUUCAUCUAUAUUGCUUUCAGUAUUUUGGGUAACUAAAUUUAACAUUUGCACAUACAAAUGUUAAAGUACAAAUGUUAAAUCUAGUUACCCAAGCAGAAUAUGAAGAUAGUUUAUAGUAUAUAUAUACUAUAUAAAUCUAGUUAACAUUUAGUCUAAAUGUUAAAUCUAGUUACCUAAAAUCCUGAAAGCAAAAUGUAUAAAUAUAUAUCUUUUAAGGCAGUAUAAGCUUCGAUUCCUAUUGCUGCUCUGUUAAAUCUCAUCUUUCGUUGUGGCCCAACACUCUAGUAUGCAUGUUGCACCAAGCUUCUUUGAGCCGCUCUGCCCUCUGAUUUUGCUGCGUAGGGGAAUCUUUAUCAGGUUGGGCUACUUCCAGUUGUGCGAUGUAAAGAUUCGUAUUUUCUAGAAGGUAGACAAAAAACUCGCGUUCUCUUAAGGCAACAACCGGAAGAUUCUGCAGCGCACAGGGCAUACCAUUAUUGUAGAAACGACCUUUAGUACCGAUCUCCAACCCCCUUUAAAACUGGUUUUGCAACCGGUACCGUUAUGUCGGUCCUUUAGUACCAGAUCAAAUAAGUACCGGUUGGUAACCAGUAUCAACUUGUUUUGCGGCCAAAAAAAUAAAGAAAAAAACAGUCAGAAGGCUCGCGCACACGCGCAUCACAUGAAAUAUGCGUGUGCGGGGUCCAUGGGAUUCGAACCCAUGAAAUCAAGCUGCGCGCGACCCUUCGUUACCAUCUCACCUACAUAGCGCAUAUGCUUUCCUGAAGUAACCCGUGGAGGAGGCUUUAGUACCGGGUCAUAACACCACCCGGUACUAAAAAUGACUCUUCAGUACCGGGUCAUAACACCACCCGAUACUAGUAUCGGAUGGUGUAAUGACCCGAUACUAAAAGGCCUCUAGGGACCCUCAAAUUUGAACCCGGUACUAAUGCUAAUAUUAGUAGCGGGUCAAAGUGCAGCCAGAACUAAAGCAUGGGAUGAAAGGUCAUAUUUCUAGUAGUGUAUAGUUGUUGUGAAGGACUGACUUGGCUGUCCUCUCUCUUCUCCAUCCCCUUGGUCUUACGCCGCCGCUCGCACGCGAGCCGGUGCCCAACCAGAGGAGUGAGAGCUAGGGGCAGGUUGGGAGGUGGGGAUAGUGACUGGUGGCCAGGGUGAUGGUUGAUCCUGGUGGGGUUAGGGUUUUAGGGUUUUCGAGCUUCCUAUGGUCGGCGAACCUAGAGGAGGAGCUCAACAUCAGCUGCAACCCGCGAUGGUGGUGGUUUGGCCGGCGCCCGAGGCGAGGCAGCGCGGGAGUGCUGCCGGUGGGUUGGUGUUGGCACUCAUUAUUGACAACUAUUUUGUUCAUAAAAUAACACUCAAACUUGCUGCUGCUGCUGCUGCUGCCAUCGCCACCCUAGCCAUAAUAUAAAGGCAAAAUUUGCUAAAGGACAUGCAAAAUGAUGCUAGUUUGCUGGCGGGCAUCGUUGACCUUGUAAUAUGCUACAAGACACUCUAGUUGUGUAUCAAUUUGCUGAAAGACAUUGCUAUGACUAAAAUAAUGUUUCUGGACUGAGUUGGAGAGAGAGAUGGAGUGAAAUGUCUGUUUUGCCCAUGACCCCACUGGUCAGAUCCUUCUUCUUCCACCCUCCUUUGUUCUUUCUUCAACCAUUACCCAGCUCCAGCGUGUUGCAGAUCUACGAGGGUGGCGGCCUGGGGCGAGGGGCAUCGCUCGCCCUUGGAGGAGCGCUGCGAGCGACGGCGCGGGGGCGGCAACAGCGCGUCAGAACCUGACUGUUCGUUAGCUCCUCUCGCUGCUGGGGAAGGAGGGGGAUGGGCCAUGGACGGGGUUCCCUUGAAAACCUCAGCGUCGAGCUCGGGCGGCUACGCGCAGGCAGCACUAGGCUGCUUCACGGGGAGGGGGCGCGGCCAAUCAUUGGCACCCCACUGGUCCAAUGCUGAUGAAGAUGGUGCCAGCGUCGUGUGAGGACAUCUCAUCUCCUCGAGUUCCAUGGCCAGCACAGGUGAGCUGCCGCUACCACAAAACAGAGGUUUCGUGAGAGUCAAAAAACCUUAUGAAAAUAGCUAAAACCAUCAUGAAAAUAAUCCGUGACAUGACACUCUCACGAAAAUCCUCUCACAAAUAUGGUGCCAUGAAAAUACCAUUUUCAUGAGAGUGAACUGUCAUGAUUUUAUUUCGUGAGAGUAUUUCCUAUCAAUGACCUCCACGAAAUACUUUGUGCCACCAGGUCUUCAAGAUCAUUUUCAUGAGAGCUGAACAUCAGGAAAAGUCCGCCACAAAUGUUUUUCUUGGAGCCCCUAACUCUCAUGAAAAUCAUGCGGGCCGCCACGAAAAACAGCAUGACCAAAUGACAAAUUUCAUUUUCAUGUGUUCAUACCGCCAUGAAAAUGGUCAUUUUCAUGAGAGUUGAUGAAACAAAAAAUAGUGCCAUUUUCAUGAGAGUUCAAGCAACCAGGAAAAGACACUAAUAAACAUCCAGAUCCCAUCCAGCACACAUCCAUGCACAUAUAUAACCCACAUAUUGCUCCAGCACACAUCCAUGCAUAUACAAGAUCCAAAUGUUAAUAUAGUAGACAUCCAUGCCUGAACUAGUCUGCCACACAAGUCAUUGAUGCUACAAAUCCUACAAUCGCAGCAUGUGCAUACAAGUCACAGAAUGAGACAAUGUACCCAAAACUAAAAGGUUAGCAUCAACUGUGCUUCAACCAAAGUUGUCAUCCCAACUCUCCUCUUCAUCCAUGCCAUUCUUGUCGUGGCCGUCACUGUCAGUCCCCAUGGCAUUGCCAAUGCUGUGCAUGUCUUGGUAGGAACCUACAUGUGAUGAACUAGUAACCUGCAAAAAGAGCUCAAAGGAUCUUGUUCUCAUAUUGUAGCUGUGAAAUUCUUACAAGUAGUGUUGCAAUCAGUUCACUUUGAACCAAAAGAGCUCAAAGGAUCUUGUCCUAAAAGUUCCUCAUAAAGCUUAUGGGUUUGCUGGUGGAACUGGAAGGGCUUGAUGCAGCAGAUGCCAUUCUGCAAUAGAGAAAAAUUUAGAGAGCAGUACUAGUUAAAAUUGGAUGCAGAAGAUACACAUGAAACUAGUAUUUAUACAAGUCUAUACAAUUAAAAUCUAAGGAGACUUAUCAUCGUUUUCAUGUGUUGUGAAUUAAAAUAAUGAAGGAUACACUGUUAGGUGAAAAUUCAAGAAACAAAAUUUUGCAUAGAGAUAAAGGUCCAACAUUAUUACAAGUUAAGGUAGUUUUAAAUAUCCUUGUAAUCUUCCUUUGGUUUCCUCAACGAUUCGAAGACAAUAACCUUGCUUCUAUCAAUGAUAAUUAUAAGGAGAAUCCAGUGGAAACUGUGUAUUCGUAUUAGAACUACCUAAGGUUAAUUAGGUUAGGAAAGGAAAUUGAAAAUAGAUGGUACCCACACUUACUUAAAGUUGUCGGGCAAUAGUAUGUAAUGCUUGUAAUUCCGUUGCUCCAAGAAUUUGUAUAUGUGGUCCAAUGUAGACUUUGGUUGAUCCCGUAUCUGCUGUUGGUUAAAUAAGUGUUUCUAGCCAUUUCUAGCCAUUAGAACCGGGACUAAAGGGGGCUCUUUAGUACGGGUUGAUAUUACUAACCGGGAUUAAAGAGCCCCCAUUAGAGUUGGUUUUUGGAUGCGGAACUAACAACUCCUUUAGUCCUGAGUACGAAAACAACUGACAUAUUUGUUGCUGGAUGGAAGGUCCUUUCUCUACCGUGAAUAUUGCCAGAAAGAAUUGAAAGAGACUGCUUGCUAAAAAUAUGUCAUAGAUGUAGACCAAGCUACCAAGGAGGUAGACCAAACAUGAUACACACCAUGCGUACCUUGCUGUGCAGACUAUGCAUUGACAAGAUACCCGACCACAUGUUGGCCUCGGUCACAUCAAAAGAAUCAUGUAGGCCACCAAUAAACUACUUGAAGCGGCAUUCCGUAUCGUAUAUGCAUUGCCGGUUCAUCUGCAUUACAUUACAUAAAGCACUAUUAACUAUUUGAAUAAAAUGAACCAAUUUAAAAGUAAUGUGUUGUACUCUACUAUAGAAAGCCCUAUCACUGCCGGAUCCAAAAACAUCAUUGUUAAUGGUGGUUAAGUACCAAAUAUGACGGUCAAUAUUCUCAAGAAUAAUGGAGAAUUAGCAUUUCUUAGACACAUAUUUGGUUUUGAACAAUGUAGUUCCACAUGUCUUUGGAGAUUAUUUGGGUGUGGGUGAAAUAAUACAAAAAUAAGGAGAAAACACACUCCCAUGGCGAAGAAACACAACUCCAACCAAUGAGAGAUAGCCACAGGGGCAGCACACGGAUCCAUGGGCCCACUAACCGCAUCAAACCAUCUUACCAAGGCAGGUAGCACCCACAACCGUCAUUAGGACCCACCUGGAAGUCUACCAAGAAGAAGGUUGCGAGUGGGGCCAGGAGGGGUUCGGUUGAAUCAUCUCUAGCUAGCUCCCCUCAUCCCCAGCUGGUGGGUGGUGGUGGUUGAUGGUGUCCCUACAUCAGUUAGAGGAGAUUCCCCCAAAUAUUCCUCCUGUAAACCACCUCUAUGGACCUAUACAUAGAGGGGUGUGCUCUCCAUUCCAACACACACCACAAGUUGAAUCACUCUCUCCCUCUUUAGUUUCCAAGUUUAUGGAGUUAGGCUAGAGUAGCUCUGCUCAAGGUUCCAAGUCCACUUGGAGUUAAGCAUAUGUCUCUUGUAUCGUUAUUUCCUAAAUUGACUUUAUGCUUAGUUCUUAUAUGCAUGAGUUAGUCUAAUACCCUUGCUAUAUUGAUAUGCUCGGCUUAUAUGCUCGUAUGCUAGUCAUAUACCCUUGCUGUCGUAGUAUAGGCUUAUAUGCUCUCAUGUGUGCCUGUAGACCUUGCUAUAGUAUAUACUUGUUGUGCAUACAUACCAUGUAUAGGCUAGUCGAUCUAUACCAUGGCAUUGGUUCAAUAGCCAUGUUUUUGGUGGCUCCAACCCUAGUCACAAUAGCUCGGGACAGCUGGAGUGUUGUUAAAAAUGCAAGAGUGGUGCUUGGGUUGUUUAGCAUCGUUGGAUAUGGGUUUGCCCCACGGGUUUCUAACGGUAGGCGGCAGCUAGUGACAUCCCUGUCCGUCCUUCGUAAUCCCCCCACAUUCAGGUACGCCAUAAAUGUUCGUAAAUUAGCAGUAACUACGCCGGUACACCUGUAGGGUAUUGUCUCCCUGUAGUACCUUGGUGCAUAGAACUAAGUCCUAUACACUGUGUGUGUAUGUUUACGCUGAUAUGAUCUGUGCAGUAUAUAGGAUGUAUAUAUGAACCUAGAGCUAACUCCUAGUCCGUUCUCCAUAGCUUAGUUAUCUUGAGAUGAUUCUUCUGUAUGUGUAACACUACCCAUCUUAUCAUUAUCCUUGAUCCUGUCUUGUGUAAUAUAUCUACUCAUCCUAUGAUAUACUCAUAUGCAUAGUAAACUAUUUUGACCUACCCGCCUUCCUUUGGGAAAUAUGAUACCUUGGAAUAAUCCUAGGUGAAAUCCUACAACGGUAUAUCCAUGUAAAUGCGGAUUUAUUCAUGACCAUUAAAUAUACCAACAAUCAUCACUGUGAGUUUUGGGCGUCGUUAGUGAAGGGUUGGUAGUGAUGGGCAUCCCCUUCACCAAUGGACCUGGAACCGGCGGUGAUGGCUAUUAUAAAAAAGGGGACACCACCCAGCGUACCCCACGACCCGGCCGGCCGCACCUCCCAUCAUCCCCGCCAGCCGCCCUUCCUUUUCGCCGGCCGAGCAUGGUCCCGGCCUUUGUCCCUACCACCUCGCCUCCACCGCGACCCCCCGCCGAUGCCCUCGUGCCUGGCCCCCCUCAUCUUGCCGGCCACCCUCCCGAUGCGUCCACUGGGGCCCUCGCACCACCAACCGCCCUUGCUUAGAGAGGGAGAGAGAGGAGGGAGGUGAGGCCACGCACCUCGUCCUACACCGCCGCUGUUUCUCCUCGGCCCACCGCGCCUCACCCCACACCACAGCCGCGCCUUGCCAUCUUACCGGCUGUGACGCCUCAUCUCACCGGCCACCGUUCCUCACCCCCACUUCGGUCGUCGCCGCUCCUUGCCCUACCGCUGCUCUUUGCCGCUGCGAAUGAGCGCCGAGUGGAGGAGGAGGGAUGGGGCAGGAGGAGGGCAAGAUCCGGGAGGAAGGGAGAGAUCUCGGGAGGUGGAGAUGGAAGGAUAUGGCGGAAGGGAGAGAUCCAGAGGGAGAGAGCAGGGGAGAGAGGGGGGCGUGUGGGGAGAGAGCGCGUGUGGGGUGGGGCCGGGCUGGUGGGAUGGAAGGGAGAGGGGCUAGACGGGCGCAGUGCAUUCAACUGGAUGAAGUAAAUAUUUUGGAUUCGAGACCCCAGCUUUAUUAUCACCGCUGGUCCGUAGUACCAUCCGGUGCCUGCUCGUAAUUUAAUUUGAAUCUGCGGUGAUGUUUUAUUAUCACCAUCGGAUCAUAUAAAAAUCCGGCGGUUAAAAAUCCGCUGGUUUCGAUGAAAACCGACGGUGAUAGGAUGACUGUGAUAGUCUCUUCUCUAGUAGUGGUAUAUUAGUACCGGCUGCCGGAUGGUGUUGCCGACCAGUACUUCUCCGGGGGCGAUUCAGUACUGCUGUUAGCAAAGCUUGUUCUCUAUGAAUUUGGGGAUGGAAAGCUAGUUCUCUAGUUGUGAUUUGUUACAUAUAUAUCUAUGAUAGUCUAGAAAUUGCAUGUCCUUCGUUGACAUAGUUGAAGCUGCUUCAAGAAUUUACUUCGUGCAGUCGUGCAGCAUAUUGGAUUAUCACCUAGACAGGAUACAUAGGUGAAGCAUUGGAUGUGAUUGUGGCCGAUAAUUAUGCAGGACGCUGUUGCAAUCAACCACCAAGAAGUCUGGAGUGAUGGGGUUGCCUCAUCAAUAAUUUUUAUAUAUGGCUGCAGUAUUAUUAAGCCCACGUCAAUAAUUUUUUGUCCGCACCAUAUAUCGAUGGGGUUGCCUCAUCAAUAAUUCGCGCAACCAGACAAGCUGCAGACUCAAUAUGGUACGAAGCUAGUUGCUCAGCCCACAUGCUCUGAUAUAACAUUGACAUCUGCUGAUCUACAGUAUAUAUGACCAGAAAUAUUGUGCCCACCUCAAUAACUUUCUGAAGUAUCGUGGGGAAGAACCUACGCGUACUAUGCCUCGGAACUAACUGACAUAUCGGCCCAGGCGGUCUAGGCCGAUUGGACUGGCUCUUCCUUGUGGCUUCUCACAUCCCCUUCGUCCCCAAGUAAUUUCAGGUGUUCUGUAGUUUUCUUUUCACUUGCAUCUGAGCCUCCUAUAUCAAUAGCUUCGGGAUAAGAAUGCCUCUUGAUAACCUUCCAAAUCCUCGCUUGAUUCACAUUGAUUCCGAAAUCAUCUUGCCAUAUCUUCAGAGACUUAGGUCCUAAGGCAUCAUGGAGGAUUGCUCGCCAAGAAUGAGCACCAUUGGGCUCCUGAGGACCCUAGGCCGAUCAGCCCGGGCUCUAUAGGUCGAUUGGCCCAGGCCCUCUCUGGGCCUGUUGGCCUUCAUCUUUCUUUGAGUCGACGCUUAUUCAGGGCUUUGUCCAAUUAUAGUCCAUUAUAGUCUAAUUUCCUAAAAAACAGAAUGUCCUCCAAAAUACAAUGCAUAUGUGAAAACAACCCAAUUAUUAGGUAUGAUCAAUAGUUUAGGUAUUAAAUUAAUAUUAUUAUUUAAGAUAAACAGGGGUAAAGGGUGUCAUUAAUAACAAGCGCCAACAAGCGUCCUAGCUGUUCAAUAAAUUUUUUCUAGUACCGAUUGGUAACACUAACCGGUGCUAAUAUGUACCCUUUAUUACCGGUUAUUUUACCAGGUACUAAAGGAGACAAGAGCAUCCUAACAUAAGGUUAAUAUCAUCCAUUUCAUGAGUAAAAUACUAUGAUUCAAAAAUAAUUCAAAUCCCUUAAGACAAUACCUAUCAAAUGAGUAAAUUGUAAAUAGAGUAAUCUUGAUCAAACAAUGUCCUAAUGAAACGGAACACUUCUGGUUCGUGUAGAGCACAAUAUAGAAAACAGUAGGGUAGCUGUAUGAUUGACACGUGGUCCAUUAAUUAUUGAGCCAACACUAUGGACAUGUCUUCAUGAGUAGUGUACUAGUCAUAAUACAUGGUAUGCAGUAGGUGGAGGUAUUGACUUAGCCAUGCUAUGAGCACUUAGUUACAACAAACACUUUGCCAUUAUCGAGCAUCCCAAAUCACUACAAAAUCCAUAGUUUACCAUAUACUACAAAAUCUGAGUUAAAAUAAGAGCAUACACGGAAGAGUCCGAAUGCACGGCACAUUGAAUUACUAGACAAAAUUUAUGGGACAAGGUUUUGGGUAACCGCAUGAAAAAUAUUGGAUUUUACUGAACACUUAGUUACAAUUACCAUGCCCGUGAGCACUUAGUCACCACAAACAUUUAACCACUUUAGAUCAUCCUGAAUCCCUAUAAAUUCUAUACCUUACACCGUACCAUGAAAACGACAAGAACAGAGACAGAUGCGGUGAAAAUCUCCAGAGCAAGCCUGAAAUUAAAAUAAGAGGAGGCAGUCACUAUCGACAGGACACGGAGAUUGCUAGCCAUGACAGAGGAAGACAUGAUAUGAUAUUCACCUCUGAAAUGCAGCGUAGACUAAAUGAAGCACAAUUGCAAGUGAGUGUGGCAGAUAAUGGACCAUCGAGACCAUCGAAUGGUAUGAAGCAUGAUUAUCACCUAGACAUGAUAUCCUAGACAGGACGGUGAAUUGUAAAAAGAGUAAUCUUGAUCAAAGAAUGUCCUAAUGAAACGGAACAUUUUUGGUACGUGUAGAGCAAAAUAUAGAAAACAGUAGAGUAGUUGUACGAUUGAAACUGCAUCCAUCGACGUGGUGCAUGAAUUGUUGAGCCAACACUGUGGACAUGUCUUCAUGAACACCAUCUAGUGAGGACAGCAUGCAGAAAAAUAUAAAAACAUGUCAUAGGGAGGCAGACCAAUCUUGCGAGGUAGACGAAACGUGAUACACGAUCUGCCUACCUUGUCGUGUGGAUACCCCAAGUGAAGAUGUCAUAGAGGUGCAGACCAAGCUAGCAAGGAGGUAGAUGAAACGUGAUACACGGCCUGCCUACCUUGCCGUGGAUAUUAGUCCUGAUAUCAUUCUAUUGUUCAAGGAAUAACACUCAAUGCUGCUGCUGCUGCUGACCUGGCUCCAUAAAGUUAUAUUCCUCUAGCCGCUUGCACUAACUUUAUCUGAAGUAUUAUUCUCUCUGCACUGUAUAUAUGGUUACGGAGUUUGCUGGAGUAUCCGGGGGGAAGAACCUACAUAAUAUGUCUUGGAACUAACUGACAUUGAUUCACAGACAAGGUGCUGUUGUUGACAUGGUACAGUAAAUAAUAUAGUUUACCAUAUACCGUAUACCAUUAUAUGUUAGCUAAAAUAAGAGCAUAACAUGUCGCAGGAGUCCAAAAGCACCGGUUGAGGACCAGGUACAUUAAAUUACUAGAAAACAAAAGGGGACAAGGUUUAGGUAGCCACAUGAAAAACAUUUGAAUUUACUGUACCAUGAACACUUAGUUACCAUGCCGGGAGCACCUAGUUAACACUAACAUUUAGCCACUUUAGAUCAUCCCGAAACACCAAUGACCCUCAAUAGCGACAAAUUUUGGUUUAAAUGCCGUCACCAAUGAUCCUCAAUAGUGACGUGUUUAGGUUUAAAUCCCAUCACUAAUAACCCUUGGUAGUGACGUGUUUUGGUUUAAAUCUCAUCACCACUGAUCCUCACUAGUGACGUGUUUUUAGCAACACACGUUAUGAAUGACUUGUCAUUGGUGACAUGUUAAACGCGUUAUCUCAAUGGCAAAUCAAUGGUGACGUGUUUAAAAAAACAUGUCACUGUGAGAGUUAUUGGUGAAGGGUAAUUAAAAUGCAUCACUAAUUUUGUAGCAUUAGUUAUGAUAUAAUUUUGUAACGCAAAAAUCUACCAUAGUAAUGAGGUUUAGAGCCAUCACUAAUGUGGGUUUCUUAUCGUAGUGAUGCAAGCUCUACAAGGUGCUGUUGUUGCCAUUUUAAAGCAUCCCAAAUGACUACAAGAGUCCGGUUGAGGACUAAACAAAUUGAAUUACUAGAACCAAAUGUAUGUCCAGAACAAAGAAAGGGGUCAAGGUUUGGGUAACCGCAUUAAAAACAUUGAAUUUUACUGUACCAUGAACACUUAGUUACCAUUACCAUGCCUUGAGCACCUAGUUACCACAAACAUUAAUUUAGCCACUUUAGAGGUUCCACAAUCACUAUAAAUAAUAUACCAACACCGUACCAUGAAAACAUCAAGAAGAGAGACGGGUACAUGGACCACCAUCAAGUGAGUAGUGACAGCACGCACAAGAAUACCCGGAACCUUUUAGCUUGUCUGUAGUGAUCUGUUUUCUUCGCCACAAAUAAUGAAAGAGGCUGACCAAGCUAGCAACGAGGUAGAGCAAACGUGAUACACGUAGGUUUCAUUCAAGACAUCCAUGUAAGAUUCAUUCAAAACAUUCAUGGAAAUUUCUUGUAAGUUUUCAUGUAAAUUUCAUUCAAGACAUUUGUUAGAGGUGUUGUAUAUACACUUAACGUACAUAUAUCUAUGAUUUCAUGGUUGUUAGUGAUGGCAGAUGAGGAGCAUGCAAGGUGUUUAAUGGAGCAGAUUAUUGCUAGUGGUAGUGGCUCCAACCUGCCCGUAACGUACACCGACGAAGAGGGCAGCCAGGCGGACAUGUUCCUCAACAUGUCCGGUGAUGGCAAUGAAGAGCCCGAGCAAAACCUUGCCGUGACGGAAGGUUCCAUCGAGGUAUAUAUCAUUUCCAUUAUUUUACCCCAUCUAUAAUUUCAUAUUCAUUAUUACUAUGUGCUAAUUAAUGAAUCUUGAACCGUUAGUCCUCUAGAUCAACGAACCGAAAUAAGCCCCGAGGUCUUACAAAGAUAAUGCAGGGAAGGCUUCACAUCAUGGAAGUCACAGAAGAGGGCACAUCGGUUGCUCCCGAACAUGUGGCAAGAAAGUACGUGAGUCAAACCGGGGCAAUCGUAAGGGACAACAUGCCCAUCAGCAUCAGGGAAUGAAAGAGCAAUAGAAAUGAUCUAUACGCACCCCCGGAUACACAAAAGGAUAUGUUGUGGGCAAAUAUCAAGAAACACUUCACAUUUCCCAAAGGAUAUGUUGAAAAAUAUGUGAAAGCGUGGAUGUUGAAGAAGAUGGCCACCCAAUUCCAGACAUUCAAGAAGAUGUUGGAUGCCAACUUCAUCAAGAAGGGUCGAACUCCGGGUUUCAAUGAGUGGCCAAAGUUAAGGGACCACUGGGAGUCGUUUGUCGAAUACAAGACGAGCGAAGGUGGUGCGAGUAAGGUUCACAUCAAUGUUGCCAAUGCUAGCAAGGAGUACCAUCAUCAUCUAGGGCGACGUGGUUACAGCUCUGCAAUUCCCAGAUGGCGCAAGAUGGAACAAGACCUGAUCGAUCGGGGUAUCGUACCAGCAACUCUUGACUGGAUCGAUUGAAAAAUUGGUAUUAUGCUCAUGAAGGCAAUCUGAGCCAAGAGGAUCCGACAUUGGUCUUCAAUAAAACAAUACGUCAGAAGGUCGGAAGGCUUAUUAGGAACAUUGAAGAUGCUAAAGCUGGGAGGUUCAAGGUGGAUAGAGAGAAUGAUGAACUCACAUUGGCCCUCGGGACUGUCAUCUCUAGCACUUCCAGCUCCAGGACUAUCGUCACCACCGGGACCGUCGCUUCCUGCUCGAUCACAGUCUCCAUCUCCAGCACAUCCUGGUGGUGCGAGCGACGACGACAACAACACCCCUCCCUGCCCACCAUUGCCGGGACUAAGACCCGCAUUGAGUAAGGAACCUGCAACACCACUGAAGAAGUCGCGACCACCACCUUCAAGGCAAGUCAGCAAAAGAAGAAAGCAGAGAAGCCUAAACCCACUGAGAAGCCAGCGACUGAUAUGACCGAUGCGGAAAGAUGGAAGGCACUCAAAGAAGAAUGCAGGGAGUGGUUCAGCGAAGGCGAAGGUGAGAAAGUCGUAUGAAUCGAAUUCAAGGAUAUAUAUGAAGUGAACCAUCAGGAUGCCCUUGAUGUCUCUCUCAUCAGCGCCUAGGUUCUGUAAGUGUAUGUUUAUCUAUAAGUAAAUUUUGGCUCAUAUCAUUAUUUUUUUUGCGUGCGUCACCCUACUAACUUCGUCUUCCAUUUUAUGUAGGAUGCUAAUUCAGACGUGCCGCAUAGAAGCGUACUUCCAUGUUGGAUUCAUGGAUCCAUCCCUAGUUAACCAAAAGCCGAUACGGAAGUAGCUAGAGAAAACGUUGGAGGUGGUGUACAACCUCCUGGACAAACUAAACUACAGAAUAGGGGCAAUAUGUGAGGGUCUUGUAGGAUUCCUAGUGGACGAGGUGAUAAAUCCAUAAGGAGAAUAUCAUUCCAACGGACGAGCAUUAGACACACUGAGCAACACCUAGAUGGGAGGAUCCUAGGAAUGACCUCGACAGAUUUUGGUAUAAAUAGUAAUUGUGUAAAUACUAGUUUGAUUUGUAUAGGAAUAUACUAAGAAUUGUAUAUAUAGUAAUUGUACAAAUACUAGUUUGAUUUGUAUGAAUACUAGAUUGAUUUUAUUAUAAAAAAGUUUUAAGUCGUACGUGCAUGCGCCUACAAAGGCGCGGAUGCCUUUUAAUCCCAGUCGGAAAAACAAACUGGUACUAAAGGGGCUCGUGCCGCACCUGGCAUGACCACCCCUUUAGUCCCGGUUGAACGACCCAGGACUAAAGAUCUCCGCGUCUCAAAAAUUUUAUCUCGGAUGCUUUUUAGAGAGAUUUGAGGCCUAUCAACCAAGACUAAUAUCGAGUUUUCUACCAGUGAAACUAACUAACGUUCACAUGGUUUUGACAUUCACCUGCCAUUUGGUGUAGACAAGGGCACCCUAACAUAUGGUUAAUAUUAUUCUUGAAAGAAAAUCCUUUGAUUCAAAAUACUUCAAACCUAAUAAUACAAUACUUCUCACAUCUGAAAAAUAUGAGACGGCCCGACAGUAUUCUAAUCGACGCAAUAAUAUUUUGAGGGCAGCACUACUACAGCGACCCUCAUUCGUGCCGGUGCUGGGACUCCUAUCACGACCCUGAUACAAAUGAGGGUACAUUAUUGGUGCCAGUGCUAGAACAGCCACGAAUAACUUGCUAAACGUGCUGUUACACUCACUACAGGGACCAAGAAGGUAGAUAAAUUACACGACAUAGCCUUGGUUGCCGUGGAAGCGCCAAGAAGGGAGACAAAUUACAGGGACCACACCAUCAAGUAGAUAGUGACAAUAUGCAAAAGAAUACCCGCGCCUGUUAGCAUGUGAACUGACCACACCACGAAACGUGAUACACGGCAAGCGUACCAAGGCCUUGCUGUGCAGACUAUGCAUGGACAACACAUGGUACCUGACCGCUUUUGGCCUCAGACACAUCGAAAAACUGCAUCGUUCCACGUUGUACAUCCAUUGCUAGUUUAUCUAUAUUACAUAAUAUAUUAUUAGCUAUUUGAAUAGAAUGAACCAAUUAAAAAAUUGCGUUGUAUUUUUAGUACCGGCUGCAGGAUGGUGUUACCAACCAGUACUAAUUGGCCUGUAGGAGUGAUGGUUAUUAGACUUGGUACUGUUGUUAGCAUCAUUAACCUAAUUGUGCGCCGUAUGAAUUUGGGGAUGCAAAGCUAGCUCUCUAUGAAUGUGAGGGAUGGAAAGCUAGUUCUCUAGUAGUAAUUAUAUAUAUGACAGUCAAGAAAUCGAACACUAUGCUGCUACGAGUCACCAUCAUUUCCUUCAUUGACAAUCUGACAUAGGUGAAGCUGCUUCAAUAAUUUCCUUCGCGCAGUCGUGGAGCUUAUUGGAUUAUCACCAGGACGGGACACGGAAAUGGCCAGCAAUGAAGCUGAUUGCCGUCUGAGGAAGACUACAUACUUACCUAUGAAAUGAAGCGAUUGCAUAGACUAAUGAAGCAUUGCAUAUUUGCAUGUGAGUGUGGCAGAUAAUUCUGCAGGACAUGAUUGCAAUCCACGCACCAUCGAGAAGACUGGGGCGAUGGGGUUGCCUCAUCAAUAAUCACGUGGAUGCAUGCAUGCAUGUUCCCGCAACCGGACAAGGGUCUGAUAUAUGGCUAUAGUAUUACUGAGCCCACAUCAAUAAUUUCCACUGGUGUAUCGUGUGGGAAGAAUCAACAUACUACACCUCGAGUUCUUGGAACUAACUGACGUUCACAUGCAACCUCCACAAGGUGCUGUAUGCUUUUGACAUUCACCUGCCAGUUCGUGUAGAGAAGGACACCCUAACGUAUAGUUAAUAUUAUCCAUUUCAUGAGUAAAAUACUGUGAUUCAAAAAUACUUCAAAUCCCUUGAGACAAUACUUCUCACUUGACUAACCACUAACCAACCCCGAAACCCUAACUCAACUCCGAACCCUAACCCCUAACGGCAUAACCACUCCGUUUUGCCGGCGAGAUGGAGGAACUGGCUGGAAGGUAGAGAGGGCAGCGGUCCAGGGUUGAAAACGACGGGCGAGCGCAGUAACAUGUGGAGGAGGAAGUGCCACGUAUUCGUUCACCGCUAUUGGGCAGCGACACACGACACGCCCAAUAAGAUCUUCGCACGGUAGAAGGACGUCAUGUAUUCAAUAAUGUUAUUGGUCCCCCAUGUGCAGAAGGGCGCGCGCGUAUGGAAUAACAAGUAGGGACACUGCAACUAAUCUACUCUGCUCGUCCAGUCCCUAGCCUAUAAAUAGAUGCCAUGCUAGCUCUUGUUGUGCUCACAAUUAAUCCGAUUACACACGAGCUUCUCUCCCUGGCCAAGACACAACCAUAGUAUGAUGAAGAACAUGGCACUAGCCGGCAAUGGUAUGAAGAAGUUAAUCCUCGCUGUUCUCUUACUGUGUCUAGUUAUAGGGCAGAUACAAGUGGAAGCUAAGAGCUGCUGCCCAUCCACCACUGCAAGAAAUGUCUACAAUACCUGCCGUUUCACGGGUACAUCCCGUCCAACGUGUGCAAAACUGUCAGGCUGCAAAAUUAUCAGCGGGAACAAAUGCAAGCCCCCUAACGACCACCUCACCCUUGACCCGGACACUGGUAAAUAAUAAAUUUAUCUCACUUGAUUUCUUCGUGAUUUGAGUCGUUAAUGUAUUUUCCAUCUGAUGAAACGUAUUGGUUUUGCAUUGAAGAGGAAGUUAAUGUGCUUAACUUCUGCAAGUUGGGGUGUGCGUCGUCUGUGUGCAACAACAUCAACGCUGGUAAGCAACUUUUGCUCAGACAGAGAAAACAAUAAUCAUUAAUUAGCGGCAGCUAGAAUCCUAUAAUCUAAUAUAUAUAUAUAUAUAUAAUUUUAUCAGCUCUGGGAAAUGAAGAGGCGAACGAUGCCGUUGAGAGUUGCGACCAAGCCUGCUCUAGCUUCUGCAGCGUGCAUGUUGGCAGCGCCACCGUGGUUGCUUAAGCAAAUGCAUCCAACUAGAUCGUCCUUGUGCUGAAUAAUUGGAUAUCGUAUCCACUUAAAGCUGCCUUGUGUAGUACGUCUUUGUGUCUCUCUUUAUAUUCCAAUAAGGUCGGUGAUCUUGAUGCCACACACUCAGAUGUGUGUUCAUCUCCAGAUACUACUCCAUGCUACCUGCCCUUUGUGUUUUGUUCAAUAACUGGGUAUCAUAUCCCAGCCAGUAUGCCGUCUGUUUUGUGUUUGUUUCCUUCUAGUUCCAAAGGGGUCAUCAUGAUGUUACCUUCUUUCAAUAUGGUGCUUUGCAUGACUACUGUUGUAUGGUACCAUCUUGUGGCCAAUAAGUACAUCUUAUCCUAUGACCUUUGCUAUGACCCUUUGCAAAUAAGUAGAAGAUUGUUAUAAGCGUCAAUACUCCGUAUAAAUUGAUCGCUGCUGUGAGUUCCCUUUCAGCUUAUCGUAGGCAUACAUUAUUGCUAGCACGGUAAAGCCAACCAACACGAAUGAUGAAGUAAACGUAGCGGUACUUCUGUAUACCAACACCCUUACUUAAAUGUACCGGUGUCAUUCCCUACUGGCACAUAUAUUCUUAUAUGCUAGCCAGCUUGUAAAAUUAACCAAUUAAAAUAAUUAUUUCAAGAUAGAAAUAACUUAUCGGUUUCUGGAAGCAUGUGUAAUGUGAAUUCAAGGACUCGACGGAAGUUGAAUCACUUCAUCUAUAUUGCUUUCAGUAUUUUGGGUAACUAAAUUUAACAUUUGCACAUACAAAUGUUAAAGUACAAAUGUUAAAUCUAGUUACCCAAGCAGAAUAUGAAGAUAGUUUAUAGUAUAUAUAUACUAUAUAAAUCUAGUUAACAUUUAGUCUAAAUGUUAAAUCUAGUUACCUAAAAUCCUGAAAGCAAAAUGUAUAAAUAUAUAUCUUUUAAGGCAGUAUAAGCUUCGAUUCCUAUUGCUGCUCUGUUAAAUCUCAUCUUUCGUUGUGGCCCAACACUCUAGUAUGCAUGUUGCACCAAGCUUCUUUGAGCCGCUCUGCCCUCUGAUUUUGCUGCGUAGGGGAAUCUUUAUCAGGUUGGGCUACUUCCAGUUGUGCGAUGUAAAGAUUCGUAUUUUCUAGAAGGUAGACAAAAAACUCGCGUUCUCUUAAGGCAACAACCGGAAGAUUCUGCAGCGCACAGGGCAUACCAUUAUUGUAGAAACGACCUUUAGUACCGAUCUCCAACCCCCUUUAAAACUGGUUUUGCAACCGGUACCGUUAUGUCGGUCCUUUAGUACCAGAUCAAAUAAGUACCGGUUGGUAACCAGUAUCAACUUGUUUUGCGGCCAAAAAAAUAAAGAAAAAAACAGUCAGAAGGCUCGCACACACGCGCAUCACAUGAAAUAUGCGUGUGCGGGGUCCAUGGGAUUCGAACCCAUGAAAUCAAGCUGCACGCGACCCUUCGUUACCAUCUCACCUACAUAGCGCAUAUGCUUUCCUGAAGUAACCCGUGGAGGAGGCUUUAGUACCGGGUCAUAACACCACCCGGUACUAAAAAUGACUCUUCAGUACCGGGUCAUAACACCACCUGAUACUAGUAUCGGAUGGUGUAAUGACCCGAUACUAAAAGGCCUCUAGGGACCCUCAAAUUUGAACCCGGUACUAAUGCUAAUAUUAGUAGCGGGUCAAAGUGCAGCCAGAACUAAAGCAUGGGAUGAAAGGUCAUAUUUCUAGUAGUGUAUAGUUGUUGUGAAGGACUGACUUGGCUGUCCUCUCUCUUCUCCAUCCCCUUGGUCUUACGCCGCCGCUCGCACGCGAGCCGGUGCCCAACCAGAGGAGUGAGAGCUAGGGGCAGGUUGGGAGGUGGGGAUAGUGACUGGUGGCCAGGGUGAUGGUUGAUCCUGGUGGGGUUAGGGUUUCAGGGUUUUCGAGCUUCCUAUGGUCGGCGAACCUAGAGGAGAAGCUCAACAUCAGCUGCAACCCGCGAUGGUGGUGGUUUGGCCGGCGCCCGAGGCGAGGCAGCGCGGGAGUGCUGCCGGUGGGUUGGUGUUGGCACUCAUUAUUGACAACUAUUUUGUUCAUAAAAUAACACUCAAACUUGCUGCUGCUGCUGCUGCCAUCGCCACCCUAGCCAUAAUAUAAAGGCAAAAUUUGCUAAAGGACAUGCAAAAUGAUGCUAGUUUGCUGGCGGGCAUCGUUGACCUUGUAAUAUGCUACAAGACACUCUAGUUGUGUAUCAAUUUGCUGAAAGACAUUGCUAUGACUAAAAUAAUGUUUCUGGACUGAGUUGGAGAGAGAGAUGGAGUGAAAUGUCUGUUUUGCCCAUGACCCCACUGGUCAGAUCCUUCUUCUUCCACCCUCCUUUGUUCUUUCUUCAACCAUUACCCAGCUCCAGCGUGUUGCAGAUCUACGAGGGUGGCGGCCUGGGGCGAGGGGCAUCGCUCGCCCUUGGAGGAGCGCUGCGAGCGACGGCGCGGGGGCGGCAACAGCGCGUCAGAACCUGACUGUUCGUUAGCUCCUCUCGCUGCUGGGGAAGAAGGAGGGGGAUGGGCCAUGGACGGGGUUCCCUUGAAAACCUCAGCGUCGAGCUCGGGCGGCUACGCGCAGGCAGCACUAGGCUGCUUCACGGGGAGGGGGCGCGGCCAAUCAUUGGCACCCCACUGGUCCAAUGCUGAUGAAGAUGGUGCCAGCGUCGUGUGAGGACAUCUCAUCUCCUCGAGUUCCAUGGCCAGCACAGGUGAGCUGCCGCUACCACAAAACAGAGGUUUCGUGAGAGUCAAAAAACCUUAUGAAAAUAGCUAAAACCAUCAUGAAAAUAAUCCGUGACAUGACACUCUCACGAAAAUCCUCUCACAAAUAUGGUGCCAUGAAAAUACCAUUUUCAUGAGAGUGAACUGUCAUGAUUUUAUAAGCGUCAAUACUCGGUAUAAAUUGACUACUGCUGUGAGUUCCCUUUCAGCUUAUCGUAGGCAUACAUUAUUGCUAGCACGGUAAAGAGAACCAACACGAAUGAUGAAGUAAACGUAGCGGAACUUUUGUAUACCAACACCCUUACGUACCGGUGUCAUUCCCCACUGCCACAUAUAUUCUUAUAUGCUAACCAGCUUUGAAAAUUAAGCGAUUAAAAUAAUUAUUUCAAGAUAGAAAUAACUUAUCGGCUUCUCGAAGCUUGUGUAAUGUGAAUUCAAGGACUCGAUGGAAGUUGAAUCGCUUCAUCUAGAUUGCUUUCAGGAUUUUGGGUAACUAAAUUUAACAUUUGCACACACAAAUGUUAAUGUACAAAUGUUAAAUCUAGUUACCCAAGCAGAAUAUGAAGAUACUCUAUAGUAUAUAUGUACUAUAUAAAUCUAGUAAACAUUUAGUCUAAAUGUUAAAUCUAGUUACCUAAAAUCCUAAAAGCAAAAUGUAUAAAUAUAUAUCUUUUAAGGCAGUAUAAGCUUCAAUUCUCUGUUAAAUCUCAUCUUUCGUUGUGGCCCAACACUCUAGUAUGCAUGUUGCACCAAGCUUCUUUGAGCCGCUCUGCCCUCUGAUUUUGCUGCGUAGGGGAAUCUUUAUCAGGUUGGGCUACUUCCAGUUGUGCGAUGUAAAGCUUCGUAUCUUUUAGAAGGUAGACAAAAUACCCGCGUUCUGGAAGAUUCUGCAACGUGCACGUUGGCGCUGCCACCGUGGUUGCUUAAGCAAAUGCAUCCAACUGAAUCGUCCUUAAGCUGAAUAAUUGGAUAUGGUAUCCACUGCUUAAAGCUGCCAUGUUUAGUACGUCUUUGUUUUUCUCUCUUUAUAUUCCAAUAAGGUCGGUGAUCUUGAUGCCACACACUCAGAUGUGUGUUUAUCUCCAGAUACUACUCCAUGCUACCUACCCUUUGUGUUUUGUUCAAUAACUGGGUAUCAUAUCCUAGCCAGUGUGCCAUCUGUUUUGUGUUUGUUUCCUUCUAGUUCCAAAGGGGUCAUCAUGAUGUUACCUUCUUUUGAGGUGUCUAUGAUGACUUCGUUAAUAUCAAUAUUAACCAAUUCAAUCUGUCUUAACUAUUUGUAAGGGGUAUGAUGUAUGCAUGAUUAUAACAAUGAUUGCGCAUACAAUCGCCGCCAAAGAAACGGUCAAUACCAUUAAGACAUAUUACAGACAAUUCUCAUAAUCUAUAAUGAAUAUACAUAUUCACUACUGCAGAAGACUGUCAUUUGUAUCGGCUCAUACGUGCCAGGGCAAAGGUCACCCUUGCAUUAAGUACAUUUGCACGGUAAAGACAACCAACACGAAUAAUGAAGUAAACAUGCCGGUGCUUUUGUACACCAACACGCUUACUUAAAUGUACUGGUGUCAUUCCUCACCGGUAGCCGGCUUGAAAAUUAACCAAUUAGAACAAUUAUUUAUUGUAUCGGUGUGAUUUUUGACCUAUUGGAAUAUGAAUUUGACCGUUACUGCAUUCGUCAAGACUCAAGAGAGAAAUAACUGAUCGGCUUCUUAGAGCGUGUGCAAUGUGAAAUCAAGGACUGGAUGGAAGUUGAAGCGCUAGCACUAGUAGAGAAACGACUUUCCAUCCACCCCCUUUUGUCCCGGUUUAAAGUUGGCUCGGGAUAAAAGGUUCACCAACCGGGACUAAAACUCAGUCACUGGUGGGAGGCUCACCAACCGGAACCUUUUAUCCCGGUUGCAAAGGCUAAUGGGAAAAAAAGACUCUGAGAGGCCUUUUAUCCCGGUUUGAAACACCAACCGGGAUAAAAGACCCCCCUUUUAUCCCGGUUGGUAACACCAACCGAGAUAAAAGGGUCAAGAGCCUUUUAUCCCGGUUGGAAACACCAACCGGGAUAAAAGACCCCCUUUUAUCCCGGUUGGUGUUUCAAACCGGGAUAAAAGGGCCCCCACGAGGUGACUGGAAGGUGACUGGAAGGGGAUUAAAUCGUGGGGGACCCUUUUAUCCCGGUUGGAAACACCAACCGGGAUAAAAGGGGGUCUUUUAUCCCGGUUGGUGUUUCCAACCGGGAUAAAAGGGUCCCCCACGAGUUAAUACAAAAGGAUAGUAUCCCCUACAUAGUCAGAUGUGGUGUGUAGGUGGGAUGGUAAGGAAGCUACGCGCGAGCUCCGGAAUUUUUUUUUUUUUUUUUUGCAGCGUCGGCGCUCUCUACCCUUUUAUCCCGGUUGGUAUUACCAACCGGGAUAAAAGGGGGUCUUUUGUCCCGGUUGAGUGACCCGGGAUAAAAGACCCCCCCUUUUUUCCCCGGUUAGUUUAUCCCGGAUGCAUUUUCGGGAUAAAAGCACCCUACCAACCGGGAUUAAAGCUCACUUCUCUACCAGUGUAGCUUCAUCUUCCGCUGCAAGUUAAUUGCUUGGAUAAGAAGUUGUAGCCGCUGCAAGUUAUAAAUAGUCCCGCUGAUGCUGUGCUCCGAAGUCUAUACUAUAUAUGCGGAAACUAGAUUGCUUUCAGGAUUUUGGGUAACUAAAUUUAACAUUUGUACAUAAAAAUGUUAGUUUACGAAUGUUAAAUCUAGUUACCCAAGCAGAACAAGAAGAUAGUAUAUAGUAUAUACUAUAUAAAUCAAGUUAACAAUUAGUCUAAAUGUUAUAUCUACUUACCCAAAAUAUUGAAAGCAAAGAAAGAAUAAGUAUAUAUCUUUUGUUGGAAAAUUGGUCCACGGAGAGGCCCAUUUAGGCCUCGUUCGUUUCACCGGGAUGGGAUUCCAGUCAGGAUUACUUCCAAGUUCGGUUUGAGUGAUUCCACCCGUGUCACUCAAUCCGGCUAGGAUUCAUUCUAUGGGUGAGGAGGUAUGGUUUCAAUCCAGGCCAUCUAAUGUAGAAGGAUUCCAAUCCAGGCCGGUUUUCGUUCCAGGCCAGACUAAAACGAACAACACUUUCAAUGCAAGUCUGGUUUCAAACCGGGCCAUUUCAAACCACCCGGAAUGGACCUCGUUCCAGGCCAAUCCGGUGAAAACAAAUGAGGCCUUAAUGGAAUCCCAAAGCAAGAGUUCAGUGGCAUUCUAUAGUCCCAUGCUGCUAGUUUGAGUUGGUCGAAGCCAACUUAAAUAGGAGAGCUCUCUCACUUCUCUAAAUACGUAACUGAAGGAGAGAAGGGGGCUUGGGUUACACAACGCACGCACGCACGCAUAUUUGCGUUCUUUUCGCGUAACCAACCGCGUGACUUGAAACUUGCGACGUAGCGUGCUGCUAAGUCAAGUUGAUAUAACCUUUUUGCCGUUUGCAUGUAAUCUUUUGACAACGGUCAUUGGAGGUGAUAAGCACGCAGUCAAUACCUUAAUCUUGAGUUAAUAGGGUGGUUACUACUGCCAAUUAGUGGGGCAAUUUUGUAGGGGAAACGGUUAGCAGAGGGCUACCGUCUUCUCUAUAAGAAGUUCUGGAGACGUCCAGGAACACACAUGUACAUGUGAGAGACCCACAAAUUCCUUCCCUUCUCCCUUUUCCAUGUGGUGAAGUGUGCUGUGGUACUGAGCUGCUUGAUCUCGCCGCUCUUCUCCUUGGCAUGCACCGAGGAGGAGGGUGAGCGGUAUCUCCGAGCUAUUGCCGUCAGGAAGCCUGCACGAGGGACAACAAAAAGUUUUUGGGUAGCGCAACUGCCAGCACAACUCUCCCUCCGCCUCUUCUUCACGGUUGAUGGCCACCACAAGCAUAAACCUCGCCUUCGCAUCCACGCAAAAGGGUCGCUGGGGUGCCUUCUUGCAUCGCUUCUCAGCCUCCUUGACUUGCGGCCAGCCAAGAACUGCGCCACCACCUCGGGUGCACGCCACCACUCCAGGGCUGCUACCCCAUGCCUGCGGCCGCCGCCGGCCACCACGCGUGUGCAACCGCGUCGCACCGCUUCCUUGCUUUGUGCCACCACUGCUGCUGUACCACCAGCUCCACCACCUUGGGCUGGUCGCCAGAGUGACUGAUAACUUAUUAUCUGUAACUACUAUUAACUCAGGGAUACAUGCGUCUUUUGCUUCUCCUACUAAUAUGUCCUAAAAUAUCUAGGAUGCCUUAUAUUUCUGGACAGAGGAAGUAUUUGAAUAAAAUGAACCAAUUUAAAAAAAUGUGUUGUACACUACUACAGAAAGACCUAUCAGUGUCAAACCCAAAAAUGUUGUCACCGCCAGUUUUGGGCAUCAUUGGUGAAAGGUUGGCGGUGAUGGGCUUUCCCUUCAACAACGGCACUGGAGCCGACGGUGAUUGACAUUAGAAAACAAAAAAGGGGACCCUACCUAGCCACCCCUGCAACCCGGCCGGCCGUGCCUCCCCUCAUCCCCACCACCUCGCCUCCCCAUGACCCCCCGCCGGCGCCCUUGCGCCUAGCCCCCUCAACUGCCCAGCCGGCCACCCUCAUCACGAGAGAGAGGUGCAUGUUGUAUAAUUGCGUGAAUUUUUUAAUGUUUAAUUUCAUGUAAGUUCCGUGUAAUAAAUUGUACAAGUUUUAUUGUAUAUAUGAAUUCCAUAUAUAUAUAUAUAUAUUUAUAAUUUAAUGUAUGGUUUCAUGUGUAUAUUUCAAUCAUGUGUAUAUUUAGUAGAUUGCCGAUUUUCUUUUUCUACUAGACAAGGGUUGAUGUAUAAUUACGUGUAUAUGUUUAUUGUACGGGCAAUUAGGACAAGUUUUGUAUAAAUUUCUUUUAUUUGAUGGUUGUUGUAUGGUUUCAUGUAUAUACAUUUAUUGUACUACUUUAGACAAUUUUUAAUUUAAUGUUUCUAUGAUUAGAUGUGUGUAUAACUAAUUGUAUUAUUAGUUAAGAUGGGAGCUAAAGAGGAUGAAAGGUAUAUAAUGGAGCAGAUUAUUGCUAGCUCAAACGUUGCAAGAACCUACACCGAGGGUGAGGGUAGCUAGGUGGACAUGUACCUCAACAUGUCCAGUGAUGGCAAUGACGAUGAGGAGCACGAGCAUGACAUCUAUGAUAAUGCGGAACAAGACAUUGCAGAAUUGGAAGGUUCUAAUGAGGUGUGCUUCAUGUUGACAAUCUAGUUGGCUUUUUUUCGUUGGUCACACCUUAGUUACCAUAGAACUUCGUCUCGGGAGAAGAUUGGUGGUGGUAUGGUGAUUGGAAUUUUAUUUCCACGAAAUCUGAUUUCCAUCGAAUCAUAUCCCUUGUAUUUAUCUUCUUUUUAUUUGUGAGAGCAUCUUCUUUAUGCUUGCAAAACAAUUCAAGUGCACAUACUACCCCUAGGGUGACGAUUGGGAGUAGAAAUAAUUGCCAACAAAACAACACCACAUCCUAAGAUUCUUAACUUGUGGCAUAAUUAGUCUAGUAAAAAGAAAGAUAAAAACCUAAUGGGUGUAUGUGAGUGCAAUGUGUAUAUGCAUAUGAGUGGAAGGCAUAUAAGCAAAGACAAUAUUUACACAUAGUUCUAAACACCAUGUUUACAGCUAGGUUGCUGAAUUUCUCCAUAGCCAUAGAGAUUAAUUAACCAAGGUCAAAACACGAUGUCUAUCCCAAGAUCAGUAAUUAUUUAUAGCACAAGAAAAAGAAAGCGCAUUGCAAAGUUUAUAAACCAACCAAUACAGCAUGAAAACAAGAUGAAUAGCUAGCAAGGUUUAUUAAACUGAAUGAUGACGGUCUGUAAGCAAGUUUAAACACCAUCUUUACACAAGAUUGCAAAUGGAAAAUGCCCAUAUGAAGCACUAACAUGGAUAUGAAAUCAUUCAUCAUAAAGCGUAAAGAACAACCAAGCCAACCAUAUGCAAAGCAUGAAUGGAAUGCAAUGAAGGUGCAAGAGAACAUUUUUGGAUGAACACAUUAUGAUGAUGGCAAAAUGCAAUGCAUGCAGAAAAAAUAAAUAUGAACAUGAAUAUGAUGAUCAGGGGCGGACCCACUAUUGUGGCCUGGGUAUUCCUCGGCAUACCCAAUAUUUUUGGGAAAAUGUUUAGUAGUUUUUAAUGGCAUAUACAUGUAUAAUAUAGUUUAGGUGUUAAAAUUGAUAUUCACAGCUAUUUUGGGCUCCAAUUCGCGUCCAAACCAACCUGGCCCACAGACCGCACCCGGCCGCCCGGCCCAUCGGCCCAUCUUGUCACUGAUCCUCCCACCACCACACUCAGCCCGUCAGUUAGUCAGGUCCCGAGCUCCUGCCUGACCUAGUCCGCUACCACCGCCAGGCGCCAGGCACAGCUGUACACGCCGCCCCCGUCCACCCACGUCCGCCGCACGGCCGCGUCGCGCCCCCCCCCGGCGCCCGCUGCUGCCAGAACCCAUUAGGCCUCCACCGGCAAGUCCACCCACAGUCCCGCGCGACGCGGCAGCCUCUUGGCUCUCGGCGCUCGCGGCGCGCCAAUGCCUGCGCAGCCCCAGCAGGCGACUGCCCCCCCCCCCCCCGCAUCGGGCCUCGGCCCCUCCCCAGCUCCCCCUCCCCCCUCCACCAGGACUGCCUGCUGGCCCCCACCGCGAGGUAAUCGAAAUGGACUGCUCAAUCUCUCAAUCUGUUGACAUGAUGCACACGGUUGCAAAAAUAGAUGUGUCAAAAUAGAUGUAUUGCCAAUUGCUAUAGAUGCAUAUGGUUGACAUGAAGAAGUCAAAAAUGACAUUUGGUUCCUUGUAGGCAGUCAAAAAUGAAGAAGUCAAACAAUAUUGAUCUGAAAUCAAUGCGGGAAAGGGCUACGAAGACACACGGGUAGAUUCCCUUGUGAACUUUUUAUGUCGUUCGUCUAAAUAUAUUUUUGCAAUGGGCAUACCCUACUCUGAAAUCCUGGGUCCGCCACUGAUGAUGAUGGUCUAAACAUAAAACAAGCCUAGAUUAAUUAGCUACAACUGAAAUUAAGCAAAGGUUAAUGUCAUUGACCCUAGCUCUAUCCUAGCUUUUACUAAAGUCCCGGCACAUAUAGUGGUUGGGCCCACUCUCUCUACUUCCCUCUCUGCUGCAUGCACACACACGAGCAACUGGAGGCCCAACAAAGCCCAGAAGGGUUCGGCCGAACCCGUCCGAUCCAGUCUGAGCGCCGCUCCCUCCCAGCCUUCGCGCAGAUGCUCCUCCAACGUUCCUUGACCCCUCCCUCAGUGUCCCAUUGGGUUUAACAUUGUAGGAGAGGAGUCCCUUUUUUAAAAUCUCAACCACCUCCUCUCCUCAUUCACUCCACUCUCAUCUCCAUCAAACUCACCAAGAUCCACAUCGGAAAUACCUGCUUACCACCAUGGCUGGCAAAGCCCUCGUCCCUUUCACCAACUUGGGCUUGACCAUUGAUCUCGAUGGGAAAAUCACUCCAGCAAAUGUCAUUGUCCCUGUCGGCGAUCUGGCGAUGGAGGAGGUCCAGGCACUAGAGGUCGAGCCCCUAGCCAUCAUACCGCCCAAGGGGUAAAGCAGGAGCAUGACAGGCGCUGCUAGGGGUUCAGCCGAACUCCCAGUUCAGCCAAACGAGGACGGCGUCGCCUCGGCCUCCCGCUCGACUGCAUGCUUCCCCUUGCCAAGGAGGACUCCAGAACAGCGGGCGCGUGCGUCAAGUCCCUACAAAAGGCUGAAAUACAAUGAAUAUCCAGGGUCACCCUUGAAGAUGGGUGAACGCUACGCCGGGUCCUUGUUUGACUAGUACGGCGAUGCAUUCUGCCACCGCUAUGUCGUUGUCGAGAUUAGCGGAUCAAGACUUAGACUAGUAAAUUUCUUUUAUGCGCGUAAGGCUUCAGAUGGUGGCGUGGGAGACAUGGGUUUUAUACUAGUUCGGGCAAUGGAAUACCCUACGUCCAGUGUCUGGAGCUGCUUGUGUUGCCCACGCGGGGUUCUGUAGUAGGGGUUACAGGUGUGCGAGAGAGGGAGCUAAUCCCAGGUCUCUUAGGCGUGUUCCGGUCCUCUAGAUGGGAGAAGUGUGUUCUGUUUGCUUGGGAGUAUCGGUUGUGUCUGAGUUGUCUCCGGAGCCUCCUCCCGUCUCAGGUCCCCGAUUCUCCUUUCAUAGCACAAGGAGACCAUCGGGGUUACAGACGAGACCGAGCGUGGGGAGGAGUAAAGAGAUAAACAUAGCUAGGUAAAAAUACAACAAGAAAGGGGGGAACCAAGUUUCUAGGUCACCGGCGUCCUCGCCGGCCUUCGACUUCCGCCGGCGCAUUUGUCGGAGGAGGGUGGCCGCCAUCGCGUUCUGUCGAUGGCUUCCUCGGUGACUGUAGCCACCGGGCGUGAUGAUGGCAUUUCGUCGUGACCCUUUGUCUGUUGGGGGAGGCGGCGGAUCCUGCCAUUCUGCUGACGGCUCGCGGAGUGCGAACGUCGCAUCCCUGCCGCUGGGCACGCGGGGCGCGAGAACGUGCGAGGCUUCCCCCUACCCCAGGCGGCGCAGGCCAUGAGUGCCCUGUGGCAAAUCGGAGGAGGCCGCAGCUACUGUAGCUUGUACUGUGCAGCCACGUAUGGGUACUUGUGGCAGGUUGCGUGGUGGAUGCGGAUAUCCUUCUCCCUGACAGAUCUGCGGCGCAUUUAUGGCGAGAUCGACAUGGGGACCCACAAGACCCGCGCCCAAGGCGGAUACUUGUCUGGAGGGCCCGGGUUAGCCUGACCCCCUACGCUUGGGGUCGGGCGAGGCGGAGACUUGCGGCGGGGCGUCGGACGCUCCCGACACUAGACCUGCGGUCGCGCAAGGCGGAGCUUGGUCUUCCGGGGGUCGGGGGUGCCGGACCCCAGGAUGCGGGGUCGGGCGAGGUGGAGCGUAAUUCUUGCCUCCCAUGUUGGGCCGAUGGCAGUCUUUGUUACCUCUAGUGGGCUUGGGCCUUUAUGUUUUGUUGUUUCCAUGGGCUUCGAGAGGUCGUUAAUAUUUCCCCCCAACAGUAGCCCCCGAGCCUGUGGUGGAGUGGGGGCGCUCCUCCGGAGGCUACUAUCAUCGCCCCUAGGGAAUCCUCGCAGUUGAUCCGGGAUAGGAGGUGUUGUUUGCACGGCUUGACCGAGGGGGUCGAUUAGGCGACGCAUCCUGUGAGCGACUCGGUGCGGGAGGGUUUCUUGUUGUUCCCUUCUGUCUGAGAGCCUUAAGUCGAGACCACCUGCGUGGCCUUUGGUUGCAAGGCCAGCCCCCGAGCCCCCGCACGUUGCAGGGGACCGGUCGGAGGCUAGGUCGACUUUUGUUCAUUACCCUCAAGCGUCUGUUCGCUAGGACGGAGGGGGCGAGCCGUGCCAUGCUAUCCUCAUCGGACGAACCAUGGUGCUCAUUGAGUUACUAACGGGUUGAUUCGAGUGGGAUCCCGGUCCCCGUUCGGGGGGGGUCCGGCUUGGGCCAAGCUGGUGGCGUACCCCAGGCUCCGGUCGGCCAGUUCAUAUAGUUCCUGAGUCCGUUCGGUCGGACCGGGGGCUCAUUGCCUUUCUUCGGGGAAAAACCAUGAACUUUGAUGCCGGUCCAGACUCGAAUGUGAGAUUGAGACGCCCGGGGCUGUCGCGUGCCCGGGUGAUGGCCGCUAGCGGACCCGUCUCCUCUCACCCCUCACUCGGGGGUAUCCUGAGGCGGCUGUCGAACCCGUGGCGGGCCAGCCUUCGAACCUCUGGAUCGUAAUGGGCCGUAGGGGCGUUUUCAGCCCCGUAUCCCUUUUUACCUUUUGGUGGGCCUUGGGCCGAAUCAUGGAGGAGGUCGGGCCUUGGGCCGGAUGCGGAGGAUGUCGUGCCUUGGGCCGGAUGUGGGGGACGUCGUGCGUGUCUUCCGGGAGACGAAGUGGUGGAGGGUGCCAACCCGCGAAUCGAGGGAGGAGGGGAUGUUUCUACUGCAGGUCAUGCGCACGGUUUCCGAAAAGGCAGCGGGCGUGACGGGACGUACCUCGCGCCGCAUUUAUUGCGAUGGGGGCGUCUGUUCUGCUUCCCUCGUGCCUUCCCUAUAAAACGAGGACUUCGCCUCGCCGGUUCCGCCCGCCAUCUACCUUCAAGCCUUUUCGCCUCCUCGCGCGCCCUUAGCUUUCCUGUGCCCGCUUCGUCUUCCUCCGCCCAGUGCCGCGCCCUUUCUCCCCAUCCGCCGUCGAGUUCUUCUCCCUCCGGCGAUGGGAUCCUGGGCGCGUUCCCACUUCGGCCCCUCACGCGCCGAAGGCCUAGUGAGGAAAGGCCUCCUUUGCGAGAGGACGGAGACGGAUGAGUGGGGGUUCCCUGAGAUGGAAGAGGUGCCGACUCCGCCCACCGGCUACGUCGUUUCCUUUGCCCACUUCCACGAGAGGGGGUUUGCGACUCCGCCGAGCCUCUUCUUCCGCGGGCUUUUGUAUUACUACGGGCUUGAGCUGCAGCACCUCAACCCCAACGGGAUUCAGCACGUCGCGGCGUUCGUUGCGGUGUGCGAGGGGUUCCUGGGCAUUGAGCCCAACUUCUCGCUGUGGAAGUACUUCUUCACGGUCAGCCUAUACCAGAAGGCCGAGAAGAGGGGAAGCCAGCAGCGGUCGACCCCGGUGCCGAUAGGGUGCGUCGGAAUCCACCUCUGCCAUACUCGCGCCAAGGAGUAUAUCGCGAUGAAGACCGCGGCAUCCCACAAGGGGUGGCACCAGCAAUGGUUCUACGUGAAGAACUACUCCAACCCCCCCUGCCGGAGUUCACCGGCCGCAUUAUUGAAGCGGCGCCGGAGGUGUGGGUGUACGGCCCGGUGGAGAAGGAGAAGAAGCGGAUCACCGGCCUGCUGCAGGCCAUCGAGCACCUGAAGGAGAGGGGACUGACCGGAGCCGGAGUCAUCGGGGCGUACCACGCCCGGCGGGUGGCGCCGCUGAUGCUCCGGGUCCGCUCGCUCGCCGACAUGACCCCCGGUGCUCUCACCGAUGGCACUGUCCUCGCGACGGGUGCUCUCGCUGCCUCCGAGAUCCGGCAGCGGAUCCGGGAGGCGCUGGAGGACAAGGACGCCGAUUACCCGGUGCCCGGCCACCCUCCGAUGCGCCCGGACGAGAAUUUCAUUGAUCUGGUAAGGAUUUUGCGCGCCAGUUUCCCUCUCUUGCGUUUCUUGGUAUGCCGUUCUGACGCGAGGCCCUCUGUGUUUGCAGGGUAGCAUGACCCGGGUCGUCGACUUGCGUCCGCCAGUGUCGGAGGACGCCGAGUGGCGGUAGCAGAACCGUCUCCUUGCCGAGAAGCAAAAGUGACGCAAGGACAAGAGACAGCGAAGAAGAAGAAGAGGGCCGCCAAGGAGUUCCAGCGGCGGCGGUGGGGAUAGGUCGUGUCGGAUGACGAUGACGAUGAGAAGGAGGAGGAGGAUGACGAGGAGGAGGAGGAGUUUAUCCUGUCCCCCCGGUCAGGGGCGCUUGUUAUCCGGGAGCCGCGCUCCCAAGCGGCCAUGGGGGACAAGGCGGGCGAGCUGCCUGCCCGGACCCGAUCCUGCGAAGCUUUGGGGGCGCGCCCCAGGGGUCGGCGCAGAGCGCCCCCCGGGGGUCGACGGAGCCGACCCCCAUCCCUACACCUGCAGCCCAGGAGCAGAGGAGCAGCGACAAGCGGCCGUUGCCAGAUGCCCCGGGGUCGGCGUCCAGCUCAGAGGCGAAGCGCGCGCGCCGCCCUUGCGCUGGGGGAACGUGAGUUGAAUUUCCUUGCGAAUCUCGUUCCUUUCCAUGCAUUGUGUUUGUUUCCGCUGAUGCUGUUUGUUGUCUCACAGCACCGCCCCUCAAGGCCUUGUCCCGCCGUUGGCGCCAAAGAAGGCGUUGCGGUGUUGUCGCCUCUGCGGGGCGGACCGCGGCUCCGCCGGCGGCGAGUGGCGGGGUCACUGGUGAGACCGCGGGUCCUACCGCGGAGGUGGCCCCUGCGGCGGCAACCGGUGGAGUGGUGCCACCGCCGGGCAUGGGACAGGGUCUGGACCCCGCUCCGUCCUCCGCCUCUUCGGCCGACCCCGCGGUGCAGAGUAUCGCUCCUGGGGGCCCUCAGGCCGGGGAGGUGAUUGACCUCGACGCCGACGAGGUGGAGGAGACGGCGGCGGUGGAGACGGGGGCGGUUGCCCCAGCGGCCAUGACGGGGACGACGACGGCGACGGGGGAAGGAGAGUCUACCCCCGCGGCCACGGCGGGGACAGUGGCGACAGAGGAGGCGGGGACGCCCGCCCCGGCGGCUGCGACGGAGGAGGCGGCGGUGACGGAGACGGGGGCUUCCGCCCGGGAAGCCACAGCCGAGGUGGCAGCGGCGACGGAGGUGAAAGUGCCUGUUCUGGAGGCCACGGUGGGGGUGGGGACGCCUGCCUCGUGGCCACGACGGAGGGCGAGGCGGCCCCAGGGACACUUGCUCCGGCACCCGCGUUGGAGGCGGUGGCGCCGACGGGUUGGCCCGUGGCGGCCUCGACGGGGGCGGGGGUGCGUGCGCCGGGACCGUCGGUGAGGCCGGCGACUUCCGGGAUGGUGGUGCCCGUCUUGACGGCGGCGGCGGCGCGGUCGGCCCCCGCCCUUGCCUCUACCACUCCCAUUCCCAAGGCGUGGAGCGGAUCCGUCCUGCGUUGGUCGUCUCGUGACGACCCGCAGAGGCCCCUCUUCACGUUGGAUGAUGCCACAGAAUGGGGCAAGUGGCAGGCGCUGCAGGGCGGACUCGCUAACGUCCGCGCCGCUCUAUCUUCGGCGUUGGGGGAGCUGGACGGCGUCAUCUUCCCCGGUGGCCGGGUAUGGUGCUUUCUCCGUUGGUUAUUUUCUUCCCGUUACUUCGUCCCUGAUGGCACAUUGUUCUGCAGGCCCUCCAAGAAUGUAGCCGGGGAAAAUCUGAUUUCCUUUGGCUCGAGCAGGGGCUCUGGGAGCGCUUCAACUUGGAGUUGCAGCGGACCGGGGAGCUGACCAUGCAAGUCGCCACCGUCUAGCAUGUCAUCGACGAUCUGCGAAGGCACGAGCAGGCGGCACAGGAGGACGCGCGGCGGGCGGAGGCCAAGUUCCAGGUCGUUGCCGAAAGGGCUCGCUGCGACCGCGAGGAGUUCCAGGCCGUUGCCGAAAAGGCCCGCCACGACGCUGAGGAGCUCGCACGGCUGAAGGUGCAGCAUGAAGCUCUUCAGAAGAGCGGCAGAGGGCCUGGCAGGACCGGGACGCCGAGAAGGUCCGGAAGGAGGAGGCUGAGAAGGUGGCGGCCAACCUUGGGGCUGAGGUCAGCCAGCUCCAAGUGCAAGCGCGAGAGCUUCAGGCCUCCGUGGCCCAGGGGCUCGACCAGGAGCGCCAGCUGAAGGCCUAAUCCGAGGGUAUGACUCUGUUUAUUUCUUUGUCUUUGUGAUGUUGCGGUGAUAUUUUAUUUGGCGGGUUCUUCUGGAUGAUCCUUGCAGAUGAGCUCAACUGGCUGAGGGAGGUGCUUGACGCGGAGCGCGCUGAGCACGGCGACCUGCGGGACGCGGUCCGCGUCAUCUGUGACUUCCUUAGUGUGGUCCAGGGGGAGGGGACGAGCUCGCUGGCGGCUCGUGUCCUCGGGACGUACCGCCGGACCAGCGAGAUCGCCCUGGAAGCGCUUCGCACCGGCUUGAGGCAAGCCUUUGGGGUCUUCGGCUCCCACUAUUCCGGCAUCAACUUCGCCGGGAUGAGCGGGGGAUACGCCACCGGCUACUACGAGGCCGAGCUGGAUGAGAUCGACGUGUCGGUGCUCAGCCCGGCGGAGGCCUUGGUGAAGCUCCUCGAGGAUGAGGCCGUCCCGCCCGAAGAUCCCCGGACGAGUUAACUAUAUCGGGCUGGCGCCCCAGAUGUAAAUACGUUAGGGAAAGACUUGUUUUUUGUGAGGGCCGUAGAGGCCUUUUCUAUGAAUUGUCGUAAAAAAGUUUUUGAUUCCCUUUCUUGCUUUUUGGACUUGGAAAGUUUAGAGCACGUUGUCGGGCGUGUCAGUAAGCUUUGAUGAGCGAAGGCACCGUAGCCGCUGGGGCGUCGUUUUUUUUGCAGUCCGAUCAAUCUUGCCUGAACACCGUUCGUGCACUUUCUCCUUUUUAUGCCCAAAAGUUCAGAAAGAGGGUCGGCUCGGAAAGAGAAAGCGUUUUGAGAGGGUGUCAAGUGGCUUAGGUACUUGCGGCAGGUUGCGUGGUGGACGCGGAUAUCCUUCUCCCUGACAGAUCUGCGGCGCAUUUAUGGUGAGAUCAACAUGGGGACCCACAAGACCCGCGCCCAAGGCGGAUACUUGUCUGGAGGGCCCGGGUUAGCCCGACCCCCUACGCUUGGGGUCAGGCGAGGCGGAGACUUGCGGCGGGGGGUUGGACGCUCCUGACCCUAGACCUGCGGUCGGGCGAGGCGGAGCUUGGUCUUCCAGGGGUCGGGGGCGCCUUACCCCGGGAUGCGGGGUCGGGCGAGGCGGAGCGUAAUUCUUGCCUCCCAUGUUGGGCCGACGGCAAUCUUUGUUACCUUGGGUGGGCCUGGGCCUUUAUGUUUUGUUGUUUCCAUGGGCUUCGAGAGGUCGUUAAUAUUUCCCCCCAACACUAUGAGGAGGACUUGUGGGCAGAAAGUCAGCUACCACAAACUUGCCUCUGAAUAUUUGGAGUGCAAACAUUGGAUGGUGGUUGUGGAGAGCCCCAGCCAUACCUCGCACCCGUGGAGAGGUAAUUGUCGGAUUGCUUGGUUCGUCUCUAGAAUGCGACAAGGUCAGGCGCCACCUCUCACUGCUGCCAGUCAGAAGGCCGAGGGGCCAGUUUCAACAUAGUAAUGAGAAUCUCCGAAGGCCAAUAUGGUUAAGCAGCUAACCUCCAUGAUCAUAGACUUACGUUUAGAAAAUAGGAGGCUUAGCGAUGCGUUAACAGAGCAGAAGUUAGAAACAGAAGAACUUAAGGACGACUUCCGUGUCCUCCGCCUUGGUCUUUGUGCUAAGAUAAAGCGCUUGUACAAUGCCACGGGGAAUGACGGUCUCUACGAUGCAGCUCAAUAGACGUGCCCCUUGUAUCCUUUCCUUUAGGCACUUUAGAAUAUGUUUAUUUGUUUUCCUUCAUUUUAAUUUCCAAUAGAUUGUUAGCGCCUCCAAUUUAAUUUCAAUAAAGUGUAGACUCACCGGUCAUCCAACUUGAUGGAGUCCUUUUGUCACCUAGUUGUCUUUGGAAGAAGUAGCUGGGUACAAAAUAAGUGUGGGGGAGAGCCACAGACUCUCUAGAGCUGAAACAAUGCACAACACCCACAAAUAGAGAAAACCACGCUGCACCAGCACGUACGUGAAAGUGGAGCCAGAGCUGGACCCAUAGGGGUUUGGCCAACCCAAGGGGUGGCCCACUCGGGCCAUCUUCAUCCACCGCGUCGGUUUGUGUCUCUUUACCCCUGAUCUCCCUGAUUCAUGAGUUUGAAUGAAUUUUAAAUCUGAUCAACUAAUUCAAACUCAACUAAAAUGAAUCAACUGCUCCACCUGCUCUACAUGUUUUCUAUGGUUGGCUUGCAUAUGUUUUAUUUCAUGCUUAUCAUCUUGAUGCUUGUGAACAAAUAUCUUUAGGACAGCAUGCUCAUCUAAGUAGUUGAUGUGUAUGAUAUGGUUCGAUGAUAUGAUCUUCACUCUUAAUGCUUAAGUGCUUGGGAAAAUCUAUUUGAAAAUUUAAAAGCCUUUUUGAAAUCUCCUCUUUGAUGUGCCAAAGUCCUACCAAAGCCAUAUGAUAAGUUAUCUUGAAAAACCAUUUGCAUAUGUUGCUUGUCUUUGCAUUGAGCUUUGUCAAAUUGGUGUGACCCUUGUCACAAUUCUUUUCAUACUUUCAUGAUCAAGACUCAUGUGCACGCCAUAUACCCCUUGCUAUGCUUCUAUGAGAUGUUAGCAUUGUACCAUCCAUUCAUUCCACAAAAUAAAUGCUCCACCAUAUGUGUUGGUCUCCUUCUAAGAUUAUUGUUACAAAAGAGAUAUGGGCUAUCAAAAAAAAAUAUGAAUGUCCAAGAAAGUUGGACACAUGAAUGUCCAAUAAAAAGAAAAAGAAAGAUAGCCAUGUCCUCAGAAAUAUUUACAAAGGGAGAGAGAUCAUACAAAAAGGAGUUUCCAUUCCAUCCACCACAUCCAUACAUGUGCACAUCUUGAUCUGAUUGUAUGACUUAUUUUUCUCUUUGGAUCUGGUCUUUGACUUUGCAAUAUAUGUGAUGCAAGCAUGCCUUAUCCUUCAUAGCCUACCUUGAGCUCCACAUAUAGCCAUCAUUAGAAGUAGGAUGAAGAAAGGCAAGUCUAAUGCCUUGGUGAGGACAUAUACACAUUGAGUGAUCUGAGAGAAUCAAAUGAGGAGCUAAGCAAGGUUUUGUUUUGAAAACUAAUUGAAAAAUCCCAAGCUACUUGGCAUAAGGAGUUGAGGUGACUUGAUUCAAGACCAUUACAUUCCUCAACUACCCAAGAUGGCAUGAUAGACACUCCAAAGUUCACAAGUGCAGGUAUGGUUUGGAAUAUCUUUUAGGCUCGCUUCAUACCUUUGAAAGUUAUGUUUCACCUUAGUCCUUUCUCGUUCACUCAAGGAUAAGCAAAGGCUAAGUGUGGGGGUGUUGUUGAUGGCUCUUAAGUACAAAAUCUGCGCCAUCAACUCUUGCAUAAACACAUAAAAUAUGAGCAUCAACAAUAGUGGUAGGAGUUAUUACAAACGAAUUCCACAAGUCUUGGUGAAUAUUUGUAUGCAAGCCCAAUAGGAGAGAAAAGACACCUCAAAAGCAAGGAAACACACUCUCAACCAAUCAAGAGCAAGCACAUGGAACCAUGGGCCCACAACCAAAAGGAAAUCGACUACAUUCCAAACACCCUAUACCCACAUGAGAACCCAUAGGGCAGUGACCCAGAGCAAAGGUGAUGCCAGAGUGUAGAUGGUAGUUAGCAUGCCAAAUUUUGAACCGCAAGCGCUCGGAUUAGUUGUUUCUUUUCCCUUAGAGAUUCCCCCAAGGUUUAUCAAUCCAUGGAACAAGGGAUUUGCACGUUUCACUAAGCACUAAUCAAUGUAAUUGAAAGCUUUUCGAAUAAGAUAUGAUUAUGCUAACAAAGGAACUAAGCAAUCUAGAUUAAGAUGGAUAGAGAGUACAGGUUGUGAACAAGAUAGAUUAAACGCUUGUAGAUGCAAUCACCAUGCAUGAAUGAAUUAGAUCUAGGUGUUAUUGUGAGUGGUUGUGAACCAUGCCCAACACUUUCCCACCCGCAACAUUGUCACUACAUGUGGGUACUCAACUAUCGGAACAUAAGAACACAUCAAGAUGAUCAUUCUAGGUAAGCAAAUAAGCAACCCAAAGUAGCGCUGGCCAGCCUUUUCAUGAAAGAGCAUCAUCAAGAUAAGAUUGAUAACAAAAUAGAUCUCAACCAAAGGUUCAGCGAUUACAAAUCAAGAUCUUCGUAUAACCCCGAUGACAAAUAGAGGUAUUACCCCCAUGAUCUUACACAUGUUGAUGAAUUUUAGGGUAAAGGACACCCUGUAGAUCAACUGGACCAAAGAUGAUGAUGAACGGGGGCAGGGAAGGCCCAGGUUGAUCAGCCUGCGCACUUUUGAGCCGAUCAGCUCAGGGGGUUUCCUCCUCCCCUGGUGCUCCUCUUCGCGUGGCCUCCUCUGGAUCCAAUCUUCUCUUCAUUUCUCCUACUUGUGGCGGCAAUGGAUGGUGUUUGCAUGGUGAUUUCCUCUUCUCCCCAACUCUCCCUCCUUGAAGUCCAUGAGGGGGUAUUAAUAGUCUCCAAUAGGCGGCAGCUCUGGGUCAAUGUCAGUGAAAAAAUCCUAGAGAUCAUCGUACACUUCAUGCUGAGGAAACAAGAGGUUGACCGAGCCCUGGGAUAGACCAAGAGGAUCAUCCUAGAGGGUCCCAGGCUAAUCGGUCUAGGCCCUUCCUAGCCCUUCUAGUCCUCUCCUUCCUCGUGCUGGCUUUUCUCGAUGACCCUUGUCCAAAUAUCCAUGAAGCUCUAUAUACAUACCCCCUUGAUUAUGUUGUAUUUCCUGUCAAAAUACAAUGCUCCAAAAUACAACACAUAUGCAAUAAUAGGGUUAUUUCAGGUGCCAAUUGGUGGGUUAGUAUACGAAUAAGCAUGAAAAUACUGUUUAAAUGACACUAAAAGUGUGUCAAUAACGAGCACCAACAAUCCCCCCACGCUUAGAUCUUGCUCGUCCUCGAGCAAGUCUAGCGACUAAAAGAUCUUGAAUUAAACCUGAGCAAGCGAGUCAAGUACCUAGCCUUGAAACAAAAGAUUAGAGGAGCAGCAAAGAUAAUCAAAGUCUGGGUGUUCAAAGAUUUAUCUAAGCAAAGAUUCCCCUACAACUAUUAUUCAGAACCAAGUAACUUCAAAAAUCAACUACACUUAUUUUCUGGCUUUUUUCAGAGGGUUUUUCUUUCAUCAUAAAACAAUCUCCCUGCAACAAAAUUGAAAAAAGAAUUAUUUUCAAGGUGCUUACAUGUCGCUUAAAUGAAUGUUGGCUAUCCUACUUAUUUGCAAGCUCUCAUCUCUCAAAAUUCAUUCAAUUAUAUGGUGGAGUUUGGGUAAGGUUAGCUAGAAUCAACACGUAUAUUAUUGAAUUAAGAAAACCCUCUAACGGUGGCCUACCUUCCGAGCCAUUGAUCAUAAGAAUAUCCACAUAAUGUGAAGUUUUCAAGGAUGAGAAGAUAUAGAAUGGUGGACAUGUGCAAAGGCAAAGAAAUAUAGUGACUCUGAGGCACAAGCAAUGUCCUCGUCGUUGGAUUGCAUAUGGUUGUAAUGAAAAUAUGUUCCUUAAACAAGUCUAUCUUUUCUUUGCACCACUCUUGAUCUUCAUGACAGUAAAAACUCCUCCUUUAUUUCUUUCUCUCUUUUCCUAUUAUUUCUUUUUAUUUGUCUCAAUACUUUUAUUUCUUUAUUUCUUUAUUUUAAUCUCUUCUCUGAACCUCUUCUGAACACCACAUAAUAAAAAUAAGUUUUAGAUCCUUCCAGAGACCUUCCAGGAAUUUGCUACAUGAAAACCGAGGCAAGGAGACCCCAGGCCGAUUGGCCUAGCCACUCCUUUGCUCUCCUCUAGCUCUUCUUUCUGGUGAAGCUUCCUUAUCUUGUAUCUUUCCAAAAAUUUCAUAAAGCUCGACUAGAAACGGAACAGAUCUUCAUAUAAUGAGUUGUGUUCAAGGAAUUGGUAAUAAAAUUGAGAAAUUUGUGGUUCGGGUUUACGAAUUCAGUACAAAAAUAUGAUUGUUCCAAUGAAGAACUCUCAUUACUGAAUAUUGACGAGGCAAGCAUUCAAAGAUGGUAAAAAGGAUAUGAUCAAUUCUCAAAAUUAAAGCAAACCAAGAGAGAGCGAUCCUAAUUCAAUUCAAAGUGUCAAAUGUUGCUUAUGGUGGUAUGAAUAAAUAUUUUUAGGCAUUGGGUAGGAUAAAUAAAAACUCUCAACCUGGUUAAAAGAUAUUGAUCAAUCUUGUUUUUGCAGAGGUUUUAAAUAAAAAAUAAAAUUUUAAAUCACCUCCAAUUCAAAGCCUUACUCAUAAAUCAUAAUCAAAACUGAAGCACUUGAUCAUCAUAAAGCAUGGGUAUUGCAUAAACAAAUCGAUUACUAAAACUCCACAACUACGAUUUAGAAUUCAAGACAAUGCUCAUAAUCUAAAGUUGCAAAGAUAAAAUAAAAGACAACCAAGCCAAGGUAGACACUAAAAACACUUGCACGAUCCUUGAAUUUUAUUCAUGCUUCUUCUCACAAAGACGCUAAAGUAGCCAUGUAGGCCUAAGUCUUCCCAAAAGCUUAAGAAAACUACUACUUUAUCUACUUUUGGUUGAAAUAAAAAGACUAAUCUAGACUCUCACAUGAUUCGACUCGACCAAAUUAGAUCCAAAAACUCAUACGAGCGACGAUCUCCCCCCCCUCACGCUUAAAAUCUACGACCUCCUCGUCGUAGCCAUAUGGAGUACAAGGAAAAGAAGCUUGUAAACGCUCUAAUGACGCUACCCGCACUACUUGCACACGGGAUGGUUGCUGCUUCCUUCGCUUUGUUCUUCCUCAUGUUGCUGCACAUCCCGAAGAGCUUCCUCACGUUCCUCUGCAAGAACUUGAACUCGUCCUCCUGACGGCGAUCAUUAUCUUCUGCCUUUUGAUCCAGAGCUUGUAAGGCUUGCAUGAUGUCAUCGAACGCAUCGAAGAGGUAGUGGAUGUUCUUCCUGCAAGCUGUGGAACAUGUACGAUCAUGCUCCUCCGAUUCUGGCCCGUCGUCUUCUAGAUCCUUCUCUUUGCCCUUGUCUUGACGGUGGCUAUCUUGCUCCUUGCUCGCCUUCUUGCCUUCAGCCCAAUCCCAGUACGUGUUGUCAUCUUCUUCAUCGUCACGGCCUGCAGCACCCUAUGAUCCAUUGUCUAUCUUGUAUGAAAGAAUCAGAAGCUUGUUCUCCUCAGGGUGUCUUGCGCGGUGCAGCGUUUGCAAGUGCAAGACUUGCUAGUUCCUUUUACACAUUGUAAUGUUCAUUGCAUGCUCUAAUUGUUCUACAUUUGUAAUUUCUUGGUGAAGUUUGGUUACUGAUCCACUGUUUGAUUAACUCUUGGGCCCAAACACUGUACUACUUCUGAUUAGAUAUCUGUAUCUUGACUUUGACCAAAAAAAAUAUCCGGCAGUUUUUGCCAUUAAAGUUUCAUAAAUCAUCUUGCAAAAAUCGUACUAUACAACAAGGGACGGUUUAUUAUAAAAUAUACGUUCCCCUUAUCACAUGCCACUUCCACUCAAAAGGCAACGAAUCAGUUUUCAAUCCUGAGUGAGCAAUUUGCUUUUAUUACCGAUGCCUCCUAUUCCCUUGUGCACCAAGUUUAUUUUGGAUAGGGCUGCAAAAAACGACUAACCAGCUCGGAUUCUCCACCUGCAAAACCGCAUCUGCAGCAACCAACCCCACGCGGUGGAAAAAAAAACAAAACCUAGAAACCGGACGGGGGUGGAUGUGGGGCUCGGAGCCCAAGCAAAAAACGGAUCGGGAGCGCCGGAGCAGGCCAUCACCGGAUGUUAGAGAUAGAAAAUGGUUGAAGUUUGGAGUGGAAAUCAAACAAGCCUUGGAGCAAAGGAAAAAAAAAGAUCAAACCACUCAAGCAUUCAUUUGAUUUAGAAAAGAGAACAUUUGUUAAGGUGGGGAGUUGAAAUCAUCUUUUAAUUAGUUCCACGUAUCUGGUAUCAUUACAGUUGGUUUACUUGUGUAAGUAUAAGUAGCUCUGCCGAAGCCUUUGCUCCUAUAAUUUAGUAACUAGUACAAAUGGAUCAAUAGGAAAAUCAAGUUGCAAUCAUUUCUCAGCCAACCAAACCUAUGUAAAUCAAAUUAUUGUCCAUGCCCGGCAUGCACAGGUGCCUGCCAUGCAUGCAUUGUUGCUCCAUUGUAAUAACCAUUAUUGUCCAUCGAUGUUGCAGCGCAUGUGUGCACUGUGCAGACACCAAGCAUCGAGAUUAUGUACUAGUAAGGUGUUGAAAUAAUGGGCCUAGCCCAUAAGUAAUUUCAGAAUUUCAAAUAAAUCUCAAAGGCCCAUGUGGGCAAGAGGUGGAGUGGUGCAAGUCUUUAGUCCCACAUUGCUAGUCGAGGGGAGGGAUGACCAACUUAAAUAUGGAAGUUGUCUCCACUCCUCCAAGCUAUGUGUGAAGGGCGCGGGCGCGAGGCACUUGCGUGAAUGGUCCGCCGAAAUCUGGCCCCCCUUGCGGGGGCGCGGCUUCCUUUUGCCGUUUUAUUUUUUGGUUACUUGGUCGUUAAGUCAUGGAAUCCUAACCGGUUUAGAUCACGAUCGUGAAGGUUUUUGGGAAGCGCUCUGCGCGACUGCUCGAUCGCUUCUUCCGCUUCGUCAAGUUCUUCGUCGACUCCUUCACCACGGCUCGUCUACCUCUUCGUCGCUCGGGCCUCACUCGUCGUCGCGAACAACGUCAGGCUGCUGAUCGUCGUCGCCUGCUGUAUCCGGUAGUCGUCCAGGAGCCGGUUUUCAUCAAGAAAGAAACGUACGGUCUCUUAACUCACAUUAUGUCUUCCAUACUAGCUAUUAUGAUUGUUGCAGUCUGAUAGCUCUGGAUAGUAUGGUAGAAUGUCUGAUUCUAUUUGCAAUGAUAGACUUGUCUAGAUCUUGCGUAGACAUGUCUAGUUUAAUCUGCUGCUUGUUCAUCAUAUUCAUGAUUUAUUUCUGGAUUAAGUUAAAACUAAAAGUGCUUAUAUAUCCAACAUAAGGUACCAAGAACACGUGAAGCACCCGGGGGAGGCUGCUCCACUCCGCAUGCACAGGUGGGCACGGCACCACUACUCGUCUCCUUCAGGCUGAGGAUAAGUGAUGUACGCUGAUCAACAGACCACGACGGAACCAGCAAUAAUAGUUUCAGCCUGCCUCACAGUAAUUAAUAUAUCCUGUAUCCUCCGAGGACCCCUCCCCUUAAUCUUGGCCUAUUGCAUCCAAUAAUGAUAUGUGUGUUUAUCCAAAUUUACGGCACCUUUGGCGGGGGUUCCACCCAGCUCCGCCCUCUCCACCUUCGGUACUCCAUGGGAAACCAUUCCUUUGGAAUCAAGGAAGCUUGAACAGUAUAACGAAUAAAGUUUCAUAUAUCCAUUUGAUUUCACAUGAAAUAAAAUAUUCUGUCAGAACCAAUGGUUUCACUGAAGCUCCAGGCAGCGAGCGAAGGGGUGAGAGAGGAUAACGCUUACUGUGUGUUACCAUCGCGUGCACCAUGGAUGACCAACGCGCAGCCGAGAUGAAACGGCGGACCUAAACAGGUCCUCGCUAUUUUUGCAGGUUCUCGACCAGGCCAGUUCUUUAGGCCAACCUAUCAUUCACGAGUUAAACAUACGGUGGCUGGAGAAAUGUUCUAUUCUUUUAAACAAUACCAGCUGGUUCCUCCGUUUUUAUUCCACCAAUACAAGCACCACCUUGUAACAUUUCCUAUGUUUUUUUUCCUUUCGUCUGUUUUCUCACUACAUGCGUUGCUCUUUCAUGCAUUUUUUUCCAUUCCUGUAUUCCAAAUAGGUCUACAUGAACACAAAAUGAACUAGGGGACAGAAAAAGCCAGUGAAGUUAGUUUUGAGCUUCACCAGCUACUUGCUACAUAAAGUGUGCUAUAGUCGCAGAAAAGCUAAGCUGGAUCAGACGUGGCCGAAACAAUGCCAAAGAGCUAGGUCCCUAGCUGAUGGCAACACAUCAGAUGACUAGCCUGCUUUUCUGUAAUAAUGAUAUUGAGCAAUACACUGCAUGGCUAACCUGCUUUACAAUAAUUGUCAUUUUAUAAUAUUGGUCAUCACGAGAGAUGCACAUUGCAUACACCGGCCCAUCCCUAUAAAUAGCCAAGCCUUUCAGCCAUCUUGGGCACCUCCUCUCAGGGCCUCGUCUCACCAUCAGACAUCUCGUUCCCAGUUAUAAUUUGCGAGGUUAGAUCAGGCUGCGCCAUGGCGUCCGCAACUGCUGUCAAGAUCGUCGCCACCUUCAUGCUGGUGCUGACCAUGGGCCACCUGAUGGCCGAAGCAUCACCGCAGCCUCGGCGUGUGCUUGCAGAAACGGAGCAUGCUGCGGUGUCCGGGAAUCCUGGCCUCCCAGGUGAUGCUAGCGUCAUGCAGGUCCUCGAACCCGCCCUAGUUUCUCGGCUUGCCUGCAAACCAGAGUGCACAGUCCCUUGGCCUCCUUUUGUAUGUAUCUGCUAGAUCCUCUUCCUGGCUCAACGGAACUUCAGGGAAAUGGCUGUGACGUCGGCCAAAGAAUAAAUUGGAUGAACAUAAUAUACCCCGGGUAGUGUAGCUUGGGCUUUUGUUGAGCGUCUGGUGCUAGUUGUAUUUUGUUUGCUCAUGUGGCUUUGCUUCUGGUUGCAUAUUGGCUUUCCUAUCGCUCUCUGUUGCAGCUAUGGUUUCUGCCAGGUGUGUGUUAAUGCGGUUUGUAAGCGGUGCUUGUUCCUACCUUCUGUUUUCAAUAAAAGAAGUCGGAGUCUCCCUCCGACUCUUGUUAUCAGUCAACAAAAAUGAGUUGUAUCAUAUAUAUCUGCGUCUUUUUUCUACGUAUCUUUGGGCUGCUUCAGCUGGAAGUUUAUCGUAAGUACGUGUAUCAGGAUGAUCGUUUGAAUUAAAACGAAAUGAUAAUGUGUGGCUGCUAGAAAUGGAAUGAGCAUCUUACUAUAUUACUAAUUGGAAGCCUCCACGUGAAGCCACCUAGAAAUUCUAGGUGGACGUUUUAAAAAAAACAAAACUCAUAGAAGCCUCCACCACCUAGGAAUCCUAGGUGGACACUCUAAAAAGAGACAAAUCCUAGAAAUUCUAAAAAAAGAAAAAAAUAAUAACAAUAAGAUUUUUUUGCAGUCAAUUACAUAUAUUUUUUUGAGACACCGUGCUGCUAGCUCUUGCCAUUGCGACCAGUAAAGCAAGCAGAUAGUAAGAUGACAUGCGUGUGGAUUGAUUAAAACAAAUUCAGUUAGUUGAUUCUAAAUCGUAUGUAUCCUAAAAGGAAGAUAUGUGCGUGCAUGGUCCCUAGCGAUGACAUGUAGACAUGUAUUGCAAUUUCUUUUUUAAAAAACAUGUCUAUCUCUAAACCAACAAACAGAAAAAAUAUCAAUCUAAAUCUAAAUCUCUUCCGUUCUCACACGCCUAUUAAAGAGAAGACAACCAAUCCCAUCCAUGUUCCAUAGAAUCCAUCUAAAAGCUUGCUCACUGCGGACGGCAUUUGACGGCAAAUCAAUGAAAGAUCAUCCUCUCCAAAUAGCUGGACGGCAUCACCAUCUUUAUCUCACCAACCUACAGAGCUACAACGAUGUUGUAGAGAUCAACUAGGUAACCUACCAAUCACCCUCCCCUUUUCUAUAUGCUCUAAAGAACACGUGGAGUAAUUAUAGGCCUAUAGGAGCCGACUAACCUAGAUUAAUAUGAAAAAUAUUCCAAUAUUAAAAGCAAGCAGAUAGUAAUACUUGCCUUUGACCAUUUUUCUAGAACUGUUAUUCCUAUUGAAUGUUCAAGUGCUACGGCCAGGCAUCGAAUGCCUGCACGGAACCUUCCUAUUGAAUGGUUACUCUAGAGAUCAACGCACCGCGAGACAUUUUUAUGGAAUUUGUUUGAUUCCCCUUCUACAAUUAGAUUAAUUUUUCAUGGCAUAUAUUACUACUAUUAAAUUAUUUGUUUAUUGUCGGGCCUGCUGCAUGUGUGGUAUAUAUGACUUGCUUCUCACCAUUGUUCUCAAACUAUUAUUCCUAUCGAAUCUUUCUAUCGAAAUAUAUUUUAAUUACUUGAUUGUUGUUUGUGUACCAUAACUUCUGUAUAGAAAAAUUCCAUGUUUGUAGAUAAUGUCUUUUGUAUAGAAAAAUAGCCCAAUUAGAUCCAUCACCAUCUUUUGCUUAUGUAGUUGAACAAGUUGCAAUGUUGAACAAAACUUUAAGUGAAAUUAGACCAGGAAAAGGAAUUGUGGAACAUUAAGGCAAGGGUAACCAGAUUGUGGAAUGCAACCUUACUCAGUAGUGGCGAACAAUUAAGUCUUGACAUGAUCCUUAUUGAUCAAAAGGUAUGAUAGAUGUUCACUUUGAUUGCAUUAUUGGUAUAAUUUUUGGUUUACAAAUUAUUAAUGAUGAUGCAAAAUUAGGGAACCAUGAUCCACGGUGUUAUCAAUAAGCCCUAUAUGAAAAAGUUCAAACCAUUGAUUGAAGAAGGCAAUGUGUACAUAAUUGCAAAUGUCAGAAUCACACCAGAACCACAGAAGUAUCGGCCAGUGGAAAAUGACAGGAUAGUCAACUUCUUACCCACAACUGCACUAAAAACGAUCAAAGAUACUGAAGACAUUCCAAAGUAUAGUUUUAACUUCAUGAGCACGGAUAUGCUUUCAGCAAGAAUAAAUGUGGACAUGUACCUAUUAGGUAAAACAUUACUGGCUUUUCAAUUUUUACACUUCCACUCAUUAAAUGACCAUCUAAUAAUAAUACAUAUUUAUGUUUCAUAGAUGUUAUAGGUAUCUCAGCUCACAUUGGACCGAUAGAAGAAACAAGGACAAACUUCGGAUUUACUAAAAUCCGUGAUAUUGUGCUCCUGAUCGAGUAAUUCUCUUUUCUUUUGUAGAAAACAACUACAAAACUUUCAACAUUUACAUGUAUGUUAUAGAACUUCUGUUGAACUAAAAAAUAUCUUCUACAGUGCCCCUACAAAUAAUUAAUUUCGUAGUUGGAUAUUUAAAAUAUUUAUUAUUCACUUUUAAAUUUGUGGCCAUGAAGUUAAAGUUAGAUUUUGGGGAGACAAAGUUGAGGAAGUUGAUGAUAAGACAAAAUCCCAUGUCAUUGCAAUAACAUCUACAACUGUGAGUAAAUUUGGCAGUAAGUCUUCAUUCAAUAUGAGUUAUUCAAUAUUAGUCAUUCAACAAACUAACCUCGUAAGAAAAAUAAAUAAUUGAUGUUUUAUCAGGGUAUUCUCUAUCGUCAACCAAUGCAACAAAACUUUAUGUAGAUCUACCUAUUCCUGAAACUAAGGAUGCACAUGAUAGGUGAGAAAAAUUAGAUAUUGUUUUUCUAUUUUAAUCUAUGUAGCAUGCACUCUAACAUGAUACAUUCUUUCAUAUGAUAAAAAAAUGUUAGUUCAAUUGAAAAUAUUGUCAAAGAGAUUCAUAUUGAGGACCAUCUAAAAGGGACAUUGGAAGACCAAAUGCAGUACAAUAGAAGAACUUUAGAAGAAUUAAAUUUCAUAUUAUUUGAAACAUCAAAUCAGGUAUGGAUUAGUAUGUUCAUUGUACACUAUACUAUUUAAAGACUUACAUACAUAAUGAUGGUAUUGUUCCUACUUUCAGGAUGAGGUAUUUACUAUUGAAGCAACAAUAAAUGAAAUUAAUGCAACAUAUGGUUGGUUGUCACACCCGAUUUUAAGGACAAAAUUGAGUGCAUUAAAUACAUGUGCACCAGGAUCAAGUUACACACAUCCUAUGAGUACCGUCCUUCUUUGGCACAAAGAUAACCGGUGCUCCCCAUGGUGAUGAACUAGGCCGAAUAAACUAUUUUGCUGAUAAUUCCUCUAGUUGUUGUUUCAAUUCUUUUAAUUGUUCAACCAACAUUCUAUAAGGACGUUUGGAGAUAGGUGCAGUACCAGGUAAAAGAUCAAUAGCAAAUUCAAUGUCGCGGUCAGGUGGCAUACCUGGUAAAUCGUCGGGGAACACAUCCGGAUAGUCACACACCACUUUGAUAUCUUCCAAGGAUUUUCCAGCCAACUGAUUAACUGCACAAUCUGCUGCUGAGGGUAGAGUAGCUACAAACUCCACUUUCUCUCCAUCAGGACCUGUUAGCAGAACUGUCCUCUUGGCACACUGAAUCGUUGCAUCAAAAGCGGCUAACCACCUCAUCCCCAGAAUUACAUCGAUUCCACUGGACUCAAGGACGAUAAGAUCAGCCGGAAACUCUAUACCCAUUAUUCUCAGUUUAACUUGUGGACAGAUGUAUUGAGCCUUCAUUGACCCCCCAGGUGAACUCACUAGCAUAUGACGCCUCAUGGUAUGCAUGGGUAAAUUAUGCUUUGCUACAUAAUGACUAGUGACAAAAGAAUGCGAUGCUCCAGAGUCAAAUAAAACUGAUGCGGGGGCAGAGUUGACAAAGAACAUACCAAGCACUACAUCUGGAGCCUCCUUAGCAGUCUCGGCUUCCAUGUGGUUCACCUUGCCACAAACAAAGCUUUGCUGCCCCUGAUUGCCUUGUGGGGUCUGGUUCCCAUUCCUCGGUUGCUGCAUCUGAUUCUGCCGAGGAGCACUGCUGUUCUGCACGGGGGUAGCUGGCCCACCUCUCUUAGGACAAGAGCUGGCAUAGUGACCAACCUCGCCACACUUGAAGCAGGUAGGACCCACUGGAGCAUUGGGCCUUGUUGGAGUGCCAGUAGGGGUCAUCUGGCGGUUCUGCGUAAAGCUUGGGCGCGGAGUCUGCAUAGUCUGCAUCCCUGGAUGCUGGAACUGAGGGCUAGGGCGCUGGAAUGACUGCUGAGCAGGGCGCGGAAAUGAGUGCUGCCAAAAAUUCCCACUCGGGCCCCCUGCGCGGAACGGCGUCCCUUGCUGUGGAGCAAAGCGAGGGCGGGUGUUGCUUCCUGAAGACUACUGGGAAUUGAAUUUCCUCUUCAUCUCCCCGAGCUCGUUCCUCUUGUGUUCCAGGCCAAUUGCCUUGUCUAGCAUCUUCUGGAAACUGGGGAAGGUGUGCGACAUAAGCUGAUAUUGGAGUGGUCCAAUCAACCCAUCCAAGAAUAGCUCCUGCUUCUGCUCAUCAUCAGCAACAUCUUCGGGAGCAUAUCGGGACAACUGGACAAACUUGUCCCUGUACUCUGCCACUGUCAUGUUCCCCUGCUUGAGAGCAAGGAACUCCUUCUUCUUAAGCUUCAUCAAUCCGGAAGGAAUAUGAUGACUUCUGAAGCUAGUCCUGAAUUCAUCCCAGGUGAUGCCAUUAGCAUUGGCAUGGGUGGUGGUGUAAGCAUCCCACCAAUCAGCAGCUGGCCCUUCCAGGCGUCCUGAAGCAUACAGGACCUUCUCCCUGUCAGUACAUUGGGCGAUAUCCAGCAUCUUCUCCACUGUUUUCAGCCAAUCAUCAGCAUCUAAUGGAUCCGGAGAAUGUGAAAACGUCGGGGGCUUGUGGCUCAUGAACUCCCUAUGCCUGUCCCUUGGCGGCGGCUGCUGCUGGUUGUUGUUGUUGUUAUUGUUCAGCUGAGCUUGUAAAGCUGCCACGGUGUUGGUCAGUCCGGCGAGAAGCUGAGUCUGAGCUGCUAGAAACUGCUCCAUCCCUGCAGGUGCUUGUUGGUUCUGUUGCGGAGCGGUGUUGGGAUUGCUGCUGUUGUCCCUGUGGCGUGGCACUGUGGGACGGUCAACUCCUGAUCCGGACCUGGUGUUUACCAUCUGAGCGUUAGAGACAAUGGAUUUAGAUAGAUGUGUGAAAGAAUAACUGAGAAAGAUAAAGCGACCAGAUGUAAAAGUAACACAGAUUCUGUUAGCUCCAUUUAAUUAGGUGUGGUCGUCAGAAGAAGUGUCCAUAAAUUCUGAACAAUUACCAAGUCGUAACUUAUUAAAUUUGUAAACCAACCCAACUGGAAUCAUCUCAAUCGGACUUCUGGAUCUCGAGUUACAAAAUUAACAAGCUGACAGUGUCGGUCGAUAGGUUCAGAUUCUGAGUGCUUUACUAAUUCGCAUACACCUCCCAGACAGAUACACCAAAAAUUCUGAAAAAUUUACAGAUAGUACUCCACGAAAUUCUGAAACUAACCCCACUGGUUUCAUGUCAUUUGGACUUCUGUAGCUAGAGAUAUAAAUAAAAAAGUACUGGCGUGUCAGUUAAUGUCGAGAACAGAAUUGAAUGUCGCUUAGCUUGCGUGAUGGAUAGAUUUAGACAGAUGGUAGAUCAUGAUUAAGGAAGAUUAAAUACUGAUUUAGAACAGAAAUAAAACCCAACUAAGCACUUUAUUUAUUAAGACCAGUAUCGUGUGGCAAUUGCCCCACAUACCGCACUCAUUACAAAAUCCAACUCAAACAUGUAGCACAAAACCAAUCAUCUAAGCACACUUUAACUAACACACUCGAACGACGUCUAACGAUUACAAGAAUUUAAACUAAAACACUCCUAAUUUCCUAGAGGUCUUCUGCGGCGGUGCCGGGCGAGUCGUAGCGGGGACGCUUAGGCGACGGCGACGAAGCGGGAUGAACAGCAAACUCCUGCGGCGGCGGUGCUCCCGUCGCGGCAGCCAUAUUCGCAUCCCUCUCCCACCGGAGUUCCUGAACCUCCUGUUGAAGCUCCUGGAUGUGGUUGUUUGCUUCAUUCAAUGCGGUGAGAGCUGCCGACGUGUACUUGCGGAGGAAGUCUGUAGCCAUGUCAACCCCAUCGUUAGUAGCGAUGAAGGUUCUUGCUUCCCCACUAGCUCGGUAAGGAAGGAACCGAUGGUAAGUGUGCUGCAAUCGCGGCCGUUCCUUGUGGGAGACGACCUCAAGUGCCCUCCUGGCGGCCUCGGCAAUGCCGGAUUCCAUGGUCCUCCUUAUGGUCACAUCAUGGUGAAAAGCCUUCACCUCCCAUCCUCCCUCGUGCUCCUCACGAAGGACAACCUUCACCUCCCAAAAAGUGGGAUAGCGAGGGUGGGUGAACCGGGAGCACUUGUAGAGUGGCCUCAUGCCGUACCCCAAGCGGUGACAAGUCCACCUGAGUAUGUCGGCCAUGUGCACUCCUUGGCCAUAAUCUUCCUUCACCCAUUUGAUCCAUGUCUCGGGCUCGGGAUCUGCUUCGGGCUCAUCAUCCGUCAAGUCGACGACCGGUACGGGCGUCGGGGCUGGUGCAGGAGCGGGCGCCGGUGCUGGCGACGGUGCUGGUGACGGCGUGGUCUCCUGCUCCACGGUCACGGCGUCCCCGUCAGAGUCAUCCCCCGGAUGCUGGAAGAUCUCUUCCUCUUCUUCCUCGUCCCAAGGCUCCAUGGGGGCGUACGACGGCGCGAUGCCAUGACGCGGCGGACGGGUGCUCUUGCGUGCGGUCAACCGGGUGCGAGCCAUCUAACAGAAAGAAAGAAGAAAAUUUUAGAAUAAAAUUUUGAACAAAGCUAGAUAAUAAAAUAGCAAUAAGGAUGAGACAAAUCAAGUUUAAGAAUAAUUAAGUAGAUUUAAAUUAAGAAAGGUAGGAAUGGCUACUAGAUUAUUAUAAUCCUUAAAUACGACCAUUUUCUAACUAGGCUAACGUCCUACAGUCAACACGGCUCUGGUACCACUUUUGUCACACCCGAUUUUAAGGACAAAAUCGAGUGCAUUAAAUACAUGUGCGCCAGGAUCAAGUUACACACAUGUACGACAAUAGUGAAUAGUAAAGCCAGUGCUAAAUCGAAUAAAGAGAGUAUUAACCAUUAUUACAUGACCGAAUGUCUCAAAUAAACCACAAAGUCUAAUUAUUACGCAGCGGAACUCCAAAGAUGACGACGACUCCAUAGGCAGCUGACUGAAGAAACGUACGCCUAGAACUCCUCGAAGUCGUGGAAGUACUCCUCUUCCCAAUUAACUUGGUCUGAACAGCGGUUUUGCAAGGGUGAGUACACUUAUGGUUGGUACUCAACAAGUCGUGGGAAGUAGUGUAGUGUAAGGCUAAUUCAAGGUAUGGCUAAGGCGUAAAUAGCAUUCGCUUUUAAUUAAGUUGGUCAAAUUUUAUUAGCAUUUACUAAGUAUAAGUUCAUACCACCCGAAAUUAAACAUGAACAUAAAGUAAACCACAUGUGCAUGAAAUGAUAACAAAUUAAAUCCAUCUUCCGAUAAUAUUAUCAUGUGAGGGUCCAGGCCGCUCUUAACCGUGAGCACGGCUGAUUGAUCAGUUUAACACUCUGCAGAGGUGGCACAUCUUUACCCACAAGUCGCGUAAAAGUUCAAAAGAACUUUGGACCCAACCAUGCGGUGUUUGCAAGGCACCAUACCACACUUCCGAGGUGUGAUUGCAUAGGGACGCUACGAGGCCUUUACAAAGAUUCAUUAAUCAGUGGUAACCCGCUAAGGUUUCGGUGUCUGGCGUGCACCACCCAUCCCAGGUAAAAUGCAACGACUCAGUCCCCCCCCUUGAAUCAUCACGAGUAAGGUCACCCCAGACUAAGGUUUCUAAUUAAUCAGCCAAGACCAGAGCUAUUUAGUCUUGUGGUAGCACUGUUUUCCUGGGUGGUCGCUCCAUGUUCUGAUUAACAAAUAAUGAUCUUGUCUUAAUGAAAGGUAUAACAGAAAUAAGGCAAGAUUAAGCAUUGUUUUUAGUUAAACCACCAUGUACCAAGUAAGCACUAAGCAUGAGCUACCCAACAUAAAGUAAACCGGUUGGUCAAGGCAAAGGUAAAACAAUCUAGGCCAACCUUAAUUGGGACCCAUCAAUUUAAUCUUAAUAUGUGCACAGCAUAAAUGUUGAGUACGAGAAAGUAAAGGUGUAUAGGACAAAAAGGUAGUGAUCAAGGACACGACUUGCCUUCUUGGCCUUGCUCCUGCUGUUCGUACUCCUCGAAGGCUUGAUCGGCAACUCCCUCGAACUGCGGGGCGUCUACACGCAUCACACGAGCACAUACAAGCAAACAUGGGCAAAAGUAAGAAAACAGUAUACCAAACAUAGUCAAACAGAGAAAACAAGCUUGAAAAGAUGAUCUACGCUUUAAAACGAACACGCGGAUAUAAAGAACGCGAAAAACGGAGUUAAGAUGCAAAAGAUAUGAUUAAAACAAAAUCCAGGGACUUUUCUGUAAGAAAAACAAAACUUUUAGGGCCUAUCCGCGAAAACCGAGGGCUUAUACGUAAUUAUGCGUAUAAACCGAGGGUCUGAUGCGUAAAAACAUCAAACCCGGACGGCGGGUUGAUUUCUGGAAAGGUCAAGGGUUAAACCGAAAAAUGCGAGGGCAGAUCUGUAAAUACUUUCAACGCGAUCUGGACCGCGGGUUGAUUUGCGAAAAAGGCGGGGGCUAAAGUGCAAAAACUGCACGGCGCGGCUCGGUUGACCGGUACGCGAUCUUGAUUGACUCGCGUCCGGCCGUCGGAUUAAGAUCCGACGGUCGCGGUGAUCCGCGACAUCGCGGCGGCGGCGGCGAGCGGCGGCGAGCGGCGGCAAGCGGCGGCGGGUCGCCGGAGUUAGGCAAAAUAGCGCCACGAGGCACGGUUUAACGCGCGGGUUGCACCAAAAAAGAGAGGGGAACACGUCGAUCCCGUUUUGGGGGUUCUUGUCGACGGGGGCUCACCGGCGACGGCGAACGGCGGCGAGGAAGAGGCGGCGGCGCUAGGAGCUCGGGCGGCUAGGGUUUCGGGGAGCUGCGGCGCUGGUUUUGGGCGGAGGAGACUGGGAGGAGGCGGCGGCUUUUAUAGGGCUUGGAGAUAGAGCCGGCGCGGGUUCAAAUCCCCCGGAGGAGUCGGAGCGGAUGGAGUCCGGGGCGGAGACGGCGCGCGGCGGUUGCGGAGUUCUGACCGGAUUCGGCCGGAGGUGGGAGACGAUGGGUGGGGUCCACCCGUCAGUGGCGGAGGGGAGCGGUAGACGGGCCGGCGCGACCGUGGGCUGGCGCGCGCUCGUGGGCUGCGGGGAGCGGGAGAGAAGCGGCGAGCGGGCGCUGGCGGAGCAGGCCGAGCGGAGGUAGAGCUGGGCCGCGGAGAAAAAGGAGGAGGCCGGCGGGCUGCUUCGCAGGCCGGUAAGGAUGAGGCGGCCGGGCCGAAGAAGAAAAAGAAAAGGAGGGACAAGGAGCUUUCGGCCGAGGGAAAAGAAGAAGAAAAAGAAAAGGAAGAAGAAAAGGGAAAAGGUUUUGGAAUUUGAAUUUAAAUCUGAAAUUCAAAAUUUGAUUCAAACUCAAGCAACCAAAAAUUAUGCUCCAGCAUGAAUGCACAAAUAAUUCCUAUGAUGAAUUAAUUGAAUUAAAGAAAAUGAAUUUAAAUGCCUAGAAAUUAAAUAACACCCUAAUUUGAGCAAAUUUUAAUGAAUUUGAAUUAUUGAAAUUUUGGGUGUUACAUUGGUACUACAUCUCAUGUAGUAGAGGCGAUUGUAAGAAGCAACUUGAAAAGAAGUUUGAUCACUACUAUUGCAAUAAAUGUGACAAGAGAGCCGAACCUAAAGCCCAGUAAAUUAUUUAGUAGUUUACAAUCUUAUUAUAAUACUUCUAUUUCUAAUAGGAGAAUAAUAUUUUCAGAUUCAAAUUAAGCUUCAAAUAAGUGAUCCAACAACAAGUGCAACUUGUGUACUUUUGACAAGGAAGCAGAAAUGAUAAUUAAUGAAUGAGCAGAUUCGAUGAUCACCUCAGUUGAUCAUGAUAAUAAGUAGCUACCAAAAUCAAUUCAGGAAAUAUGUGAAGAAACAUUGAUUUCUCAAUUCAGAUUGACCGAGUACAACUUGACAAGUUUUAGACCUGAUUAUACUGUUUCAAAGAUAUUUUUUCCAAAAGAAAAGGGCAGUUCAAGAAUUGGUAUGGAAAGUGUAAAAAAGGUAACACUUUAUUAUUAAUUUUUUAUUGCACUUUUUUCUUUUGAAUCCGUAAUACUUAAUAAUUUUACUAUAUCAAUGAAACAAAUUCUAACCUAAAUUUAUUUUCUUUUUUAUUAUUUGUAGGAAGUAGAAGACAACUCAGACAAAUGCUACACGAUAACUACCGAGAAUGAAGAGGUAGACACUGAUGACUCUUUUACCGAGAAAGUAACAUUCGUAGAAGAAGCCAUAAGGACUGGGGAAAGAUUGGCUAGAAAAGUAUACUCACUUCCAUGUCAGUGUUCAUUCUAUUUACAAUACAUGCAAAAAAAAUAUUAUUCAUGCAAAAUUGCAGGUCUACUAAGCAUUAAAGGAAUAGCGGAUAGUGCAAUAUGUAAUCUGAGCAGCAUGCAUUACAAAGUGCUCUACUGCAAUUAAAUUAAAAAACAUGAUAUAUGUUGAAUUCUUAGACUUUAUUAUUAUACUUUUCUACGUGACAAUUCACAAUUUUUUAGAAAAAAGAAGAUCCCAGAAGAAGUGACCAUGAAAAAAGGUCUAUGACCAGCAAUAAGAAAAAAUGCAAGCAUAGAAACAAAUCCGUAGAAAACAUAGAAAAUAAGGUACUCCAUAAACAAAAGUAUUCUCUUAUAUUUUUAUUAAAUAUUUUUUUAACACUUGACAAGUUCUUUUUUAGGAUCAAUAUAUCAGCAAUUCAGAUGUCAUUGGAGAUGAAACCUUAGUUCAUCCAAAAGGUCAAAAAAAAACAUCUGAAGAAAGGUGUUUGGCUGAAAAGGAAAAGCAAAAAAGUGGUAAUGCAGACAAACACAUGCAGAAAAAUAUAAAAACAUGUCAUAGGGAGGCAGACCAAUCUUGCAAGGAGGUAUAGACGAAACGUGAUACACGACCUGCCUACCUUGUCGUGGAUACCCCAAGAAGAUGUCAUAGAGGUGCAGACCAAGCUAGCAAGGAGGUCGAAACGUGAUACACGGCCUGCCUACCUUGCCGUGGAUAUUAGCCCUGAGAUCAUUCUACUGUUCAAGGAAUAACACUCAAUGCUGCUGCUGCUGCUGACCUGGCUCCAUAAAGUUAUACUCCUCUAGGUGCUUGCACUAACUUUAUCUGAAGUAUUAUUCUCUCUGCACUGUAUAUAUGGUUAUGGAGUUUGCUGGAGUAUCCGGGGCGAAGAACCUACAUAAUACGUCUUGGAACUAAUUGACAUUGAUUCACAGACAAACUCUACAAGGUGCUGUUCUUGCCAUUUUAGAGCAUCCAAAGGACUAUAAAUAACAUAGUUUACCAUAUACCAUAUACCAUAUACCAUAAUAUGUUAGCUAAAAUAAGAGCAUACACAUGUUGCAGGAGUCCAAAAGCACCGGUUGAGGACCAGGUACAUUGAAUUACUAGAAAAAGACAGGGGACAAGGUUUAGGUAACCACAUGAAACAUUUGAAUUUAUUGUACUAUGAACACUUAGUUACCAUGCCAGGAGCACAUAGUUAACACUAACAUUUAGCCACUUUAGAUCAUCCCGAAUCACCAAUGACCCUCAAUAGUGACAAAUUUUGGUUUAAAUGCCAUCACCAAUGAUCCUCAAUAGUGACGUAUUUAGGUUUAAAUCCCGUCACUAAUAACCCUCAAUAGUGACCUGUUUUGGUUUAAAUCUCAUUACCACUGAUCCUCAAUAGUGAUGUGUUUUAGCAAAACAUGUUAUCAAUGACUUGUCAUUGGUGACGUGUUAAAACGCGUUAUCUCAAUGGCAAAUCAUUGGUGACGUGUUAUCUCAAUGUUAUCAAUGUUCUAUUCUUUUCAACAAUACCAGCUCGUUCCUCCGUUUUUAUUCCACCAAUACAAGCACCACCUUGUAACAUUUCCUAUGUUUUUUUUCCUUUUGUCUGUUUUCUCACUACAUGCGUUGCUCUUUCAUGCAUUUUUUUCCAUUCCUGUAUUCCAAAUAGGUCUACAUGAACACAAAAUGAACUAGGGGACAGAAAAAGCCAGUGAAGCCAAUUUUGAGCUUCACCAGCUACUUGCUACAUAAAGUGUGCUAUAGUGACGUGUUUUAGCAAAACAUGUUAUCAAUGACUUGUCAUUGGUGACGUGUUAAAACGCGUUAUCUCACUGGCAAAUCAUUGGUGACGUGUUUUAAAAAAACAUGUCACCGUGAGAGUCAUUGGUGAAGGGUAAUUAAAAUGCGUCACUAAUGUUGUAGCAUUAGUUAUGAUAAUUUAGUAACGCAAAAAUCUACCAUCAGUAUUGAGCUUUAGAGCCAUCGCUAAUGUGGGUUUCUUACAUAGUGAUGCAAGCUCUACAAGGUGCUGUUGCUGCCAUUUUAAAGCAUCCCAUGACUACAUGUUAAUAACAUAGUUUACCAUAUAUCAUAAAAAUAUUAGUUACAAUAAGCACAUACGCAUGUGGAAGAGUCCGAAUGCACCGGUUGAGGACUAAACACAUUGAAUUACUAGAACCAAAUGUAUGUUUAGAACAAAGACAGGGGUCAAGGUUUGGGUAACCGCAUUAAAAACAUUGGAUUUUACUGUACAUGAACACUUAGUUACCAUUACCAUGCCUUGAGCACCUAGUUACAACAAACAUUAAUUUAGCCACUUUAGAGCUUCCAGAAUCGCUAUAAAUAAUAUACCUACGCCGUACCAUGAAAACAUCAAGAAGAGAGACGGAUACAUGGACCACCAUCAAGCGAGUAGUGACAGCACGCACAAGAAUACCCGGAACCUGUUAGCUUGUCUGUAGUGAUCUGUUUUCUUCCCCAUAAAAUCCAUGAGUAUUGCCACAAAUAAUGAAAGAGGCUGACCAAGCUAGCAAGGAGGUAGAGCAAACGUGAUACACGGCCUGCCAAGAUUGCCCUGGAUACGCCAAUAAGAGCGACAGAUACAUGGAUCACACCAAUAUGGUGAAACGUAUAUUCAUCACACAAGCAAAGCUGGUCAGUUUAUCCAUGGUCAAAUUGUGGUCUUUGUUUUCACUUGAGAGCUAAUUGAGGCACUAUAAUAUGGGCAGGCCUAUCUUCAACAGACAUGACAGCUACAGGGAACUUGACAUAAUUUGCUGGGCCGCCUGUGCACAAUUAUUUGUUUUAUUGUCCUUGCAUAGAAUGCUAAAAUACUCUUUACAAAAUGUUGGAUCUAAUAUUUGAAAUAUAGAGUAGUAAUCAUAUAUUGAUCAACAACUUGAAAUUAUCUGUACAUUCUCGGUGAAGCUGUUGAACUAAUUUUUGCAAAUUAUUAAUUCAUCUCAUUACGUAAAGAAAAAAGUAAGUGGAUAAGAUAUUUCGUGGACCACAUCACUGCAAACAUGUCAUGGAGAGACAGACCAAGGAGGCAGGACGUGAUACACGACUUACCCUAGGUUGCCGUGGAACCGCCAAGAAGAGAUACAGAUACAUGGACCACACCAUCUUGGGAGUAGUGACAGCAUAUAUGCAGAAGAAUACCCCGUGCCUAUUUGCAUGCAUGUCUCAAGUGAUCUGUUUUCUUCAGAAAAUACAUGAGCAUUGCCAGAAAGAAUGGCAAGAGACAAACAUGUCAUAGAGACUUGCAUGUCUUGCCUUGGAUACGCCAAGAAGAGGGACACAUACAUGGAUAACACAAAUCUAGUGACACGUAUAUUCAUCACAAAGGCAAAUCUGAUAAUUUUAUCCAUGGAGCAGACCAAGGAGAAAUUGAUGACGGACAUGUGAUCUCUGUAUUCAGUUGAAAGCUAAUUGAGCUACACUAAUAUGAGCAGGACUAUAUUCAAGAGACUUGUUGAGAGCUACAGGGAACUUGUAAUAAUUUGCUGGGCGGCCUGCGCACAAUGAUUUGUUAUACAUAGUUGAAAUAUUUCAAGAAUUUAUCAACCUCAUACUCUGAAACCCUUGGUGCAAUGUACUCUGCUUUCCGAGGUAGACUGUUCACGUAAAAUGAGGUCAUGCGUAAGACGGAAUCGGAUUGGAUUCACAGGGAAUCAGAUUUGGAUAGCACCUUUUAGCAGGUUUUUAGUCAAAUGCAAAUUCGGAUCCACAUGUGGUUGAAUGCGAGUUCAAAAUUCUACUUGGAUAUCCAUUUAAUUUAGGUGAUAGCAAUUAGCACAAAAUGUUGGAUGAACAAAAUCAUAGUUAGACAUACAAUUACAUGUAUGGUUAAAGUAUAAUACAAUACACCAAGAUUAUUCCUUGAAAAUAUUUCUUAAAAAUAUUAUAAUAAAUGAAUAAAUAUAAUUGUGGCCACCAACAAAUAGUCGGUGGUCGCUAAGUUGGAGCCAUUUCUGGUUACUAAUGCGGCCUUCUCCUCGACCAGCGACGACAGCUGAGCUUGUUCCUUCUGACACUAAAUCAUCAGAGUCUUCCCUCCACUACUAUAGAAUGCACCUUUAGCACCAAUUGGGAAAUCCCCUUCAGUAUUGGAUGCUGCAACCAGUGCUAUAUAUCAAAAUGGAGACUAAAAGCCUCGGUCUUGGGUACCGGUUGCAUAACGCAUUACUAAAGGAGGCAAAAGAGAAAUGUAACAAAAAAAAUAUUUUGAAUUCCAAGAAUGUUUCACUAUUCAAGAUGACUAGCUGAGAGUCAACAGACAAGAUACUAGGAAUGUGGGUGCUUGAAUGCAUUUGUACAGAGGUCAUACUAUUUACAAACUCUUCUAUGUUUCCAUAUGACUACCUACUUCAAUGUCACGCGAGCCAUUCAGCUGGACACAUGGCACACUAGCUUGCAUGUCGAAUCCAUGAUUAAUUAUUUGCACUUGUGAUCUCUUACCAGUAUUUGUCCAGACUAGAAACGUGCAACACAUUUUUAGGAUAUGGACACGCAUAUAUUUGGACUAGUAUACAGGUCACCUUUGGAUGCGUACAAGGAUGACCGGGAGGGACUAAUGGAUACAAGGAAGGGACCAUCAGGAUUAAUAUUGACAUAUGCCACAUGACAAUCUUCAUUGUCAUGCAAUCCCUAUCAACAAUCAUGGAAUCCCUAGUGUACUAAUCCCUGGAGGGUUGUGUGGAAAUUUAUUUUACCUUGCGGUGAAAAUCUCAUGAGCAGUCAUUAGUUAAGCUGACUAGCUGAGAUAUAAUAGACAAGCUAGUAAGAUUGGGAGCAUCAAUGCAUCCAUACAGGGUCACAAUAUCCUUUCCAUUCACUUUUAUAUAUAACCCUACGAAUACAAGUCCAACGAAAUGCGGGCCUUUCGAUCAAGAUAAAUUAAAUGGCCCACUUGUAUUUCUAAUCCAGGAUUAACUAUGCCCUCUGUUCAUCUCUUGCAAGCACGUGCAACACAUUUUCACGAUAUGGACAUGCAUGGAGGUUAUUAUACUGUUUGGACAAACUCUGAUGUGCCAUGACCUAAAUGCUUAGGGCCUGUUUGGUUUGAGUUGCUUAUUAUAAGCAACUUAAAGUUGCUUAAAGUUGCUUAUUUGAAGUUGCUUAUUUUUAGUCUAAACUGUUUGGAUACCCUUGCUUAUGAGCAUUGAAUGAGUUGGACAUUGUCAAAUUUGCCCCAUGUGUUGCUACCCCUCCAAUUUGCCUCCCCACCCUUCUUCUUCCUGCACACGUCCGAUCCCGGGGGCCGACGGCGGGCAGGGAGCAGCAGCAGCUGGCCAGGGCGGCGGUGGGGCGGGAGCGGCGGCGCACACCAGCACGCGCUCGCACGCCAGGUGCUAGGGCGCGGCGAGGCAGUCGUCGUAGCCCACCGGGAGCGGGUGCUCGGGCGCGAGGCGGUACUCGACGGAGAUGCCGAGCGUCGGGCGCGCGGCGGCGAGCGCGUUGAGGAAGCGAUGGUAGUGCGGCGACGUCGCGGACUCCGCCACGAAGCCGCCGCCGUGGACGUACACCACCACGGGCAGCUUCGUCUUGCCGUCGGCGGCCGCGGCCGCGGCCUGGGGUGGCAGGUAGAGGCGGACGGAGCAGGAGCCGAGGUCGACGUCCCUGGAGUCGACGCCCGUGGCGGCGUCCAGGCUGGGCCCGACCGGCGGCGGCACGAGCGGGCGCUCGAUGCGGCCGCUCUUGUAAAUCCGACGGGUCUGUGCGGAGGCGGGCGGCGGGCGGGAGCGGCGGGUGGGAGCGGCGGCAGGUGGUGCGGAGGCCGGCGGCGGCGGGUGGCGCGGAGGAAGGGGAGCUGGUGAGUGGUGACAGGGGAGGGGGGGAGAGAGAGGGGGGGUAGGGUGCAUUGAAUGAGGGCAGGAGGUGUAAAGUGCACCUUUUAGUCCCCAUGAGCAACCAUAAGCAGCCCAAGAGUUGCUUAUUUGCUUAUAAUAAGCAACCUCAUAAGCAAGAGUGAUUGGUUUCAUAAGCAACUUAUUUGCUUAUUUUAAGUUGCUUAUGCAUAAGCAUGUGAAACCAAGCAGGUCCUUAACCUAUGGUUGUGGCACCACACAGUACAUAGUAUUUAAUAAUGCUAUUCGUUUGGUAUGUGCACAAGGGCACGCAUGAAAUGUCUGGCCCACGGUAAACAAGUACGGACGCUGCAAAUAAUCUACUCUGCUCGUCCAGUCCCUAGCCUAUAAAUAGAUGCCAUGCUAGCUCUUGUUGUGCUCACAAUUAAUCCUGACUACACACGAGCUUCUCUCCCUGGCCAAGACACAAUCAUAGUAUGAUGAAGAACAUGGCACUAGCCGGCAAUGGUAUGAAGAACUUAAUCCUCGCUGUUCUCUUACUGUGUCUAGUUAUAGGGCAGAUACAAGUGGAAGCUAAGAGCUGCUGCCCAUCCAUUACUGCAAGAAAUAUCUACAAUGCCUGCCGUAUCACGGGUACAUCCCGUCCAACGUGUGCAAAACUGUCAGGCUGCAAAAUUAUCAGCGGGGACAAAUGCAAGCCCCCUAACGACCACCUCACCCUUGACCCGGACACUGGUAAAUAAUAAAUUUAUCUCACUUGAUUUCUUCGUGUUUUGAGUCGUUAAUGUAUUUUCCAUCUGAUGAAACGUAUUGGUUUUGCAUUG